CACAAGGAUAAAAAUCCAAGGACACUCAUAGGAUAAGAUUGGAUAGCAGAUCAUGCAAAUAAGUAUAUCAGGUAUCAAACAAGAUGUCCGAGAAGGCCAAAACAGAAAUUCAGAAACUAGCACUUGAUAACAACAGAACCCACUAGCUGCCUUAAGCAUAUCUCAUCACUUCUUCUCCUCCUUCUCCGCCUCGGCAGCCUUCUUCUGCCUGGCUCCCAAUUGCUGUUGUGCACAGAAAAAUUGCAAGCCGGCAAUGGAGCAAUCUAGAGUAGUUGCCACGGCAAAUUUCUCGUAAUAGUUGUCGUGGACAGAAUUUCUAUGAGUAGUUGCCACGGCAAUUUUUUUCUAUAGUAGUUGCCAUGGGCAGAUUUUCCAGAGUAGUUGCCAUGGCAAUCUUUUCGUAAUAGUUGCCAUGGGCAGAAUUCCUACAAGCAGUUGGCAUGGCAAAAAAAAUUGGUGUAGUUGCCAUGGCAAAAUUCUGGAGUAGGAGUAGUUGCCAUGUCAUAAUUGUUACGAGUAGUUGCAUGGCAAGUUUUUGCGGUAGUCGCCAUGGCAUAAUUCAACAGCUACAUCAGACACAUGUCAAGUUUACUUUUGUAGCAUGAUCUAAUACUAAUACAUAUGCGUAUGUGCUUAUUUUAAUCCAGUGAAAUAUGGCACUGAACUGUAGCUAGCAAAACGGCAGUUUUGCUUAAAUUGGUGAAAUUUGGCACUGAAAAGUAGCUAGCAAUGCAAAUAUCUCAAUGAAUUCAGCUUUGUUUUCUGUGUGAAACUGUUGUUGUUAAAUGAAGCCACAUUCCAGUCCACAUGCCAAUGUAUUUUCCAUGUUGUGAUGGAGGCCUUUUUUGCCUUGUCCACCCGAGAGGCCCUUGAGUUUGCUGGAAUGUCGAUUAACUUCCGUUCCAGAAAAUUCGGGUACUCCAUAUGUCCUAUUUUCAGCAAAGGUCAUGCUGAAAUUUUCCAUGAAUUUUAGCAUGACUUUGCUAAAAAAAAGGACAUAUGGGGUACUUGUGACUAAUGAUGAAAGCUUAGGCUUUUAGGGUGCCUCGGCGUCGAAAAACCCUCAAUGAUAAAGCUUAGCUUUUAGGAUGCCUCGGUGUCGACAAACCCUAAACAAUAACCAACUUUUUGACCAAACUUUGUUCCUAUUUAGAGAGAAACAUGGCCAACAACGAUGAGGCCGGGUGUUCGGGUGGCAAGGCAUUCUGGGAGCUGUCCCAGGAGAUGGAGGACCAACCUCAGUUGUAUGAGGACGCCGCCUUCCCCACCGAUCCUGAGACCACUAAUGGUACCGCCGAGGAUGACCCCACUGAUGCCACCACUGAUGGUGCCGCCGAGGAUGCCACCACUGAUGAUGGCGGUGCACGCACAGAUGGCAGCCAACCGAAGAGGCAACGGAAGGACCGGCGCCCGAUCGUGGUCCUCACCCUCAAGGAGGAAGUUACUGAAGUGGACUCCAACGGGAAUCCAACGGCGCCCGAACGAAUAGUCAAGGGGUACUCGCUUCAGCUCGUGUGCAUUCUCUGGAGCACCGUCUUGAUCAACACCGAGAACCUGAGGCAUCCUGACCGAGGGAAUUUGCGCAACCUCCUCUUCACGAAGCUGCACGAACGAUACAAGUUCCCCGCUGAAUUUGCAAACACAAGCCUCAAAAGGAAUAAAGUGAACAAUGCUGCCCUCACGAAGAUGAGCAAGGCCCUGUCUACUUGGAAAAGCAAUGUGAAGAGAAUGAUCAAGAAAGGUGAGAGUUAUGAGAAGAUCAAGGAGAAAAAUCCUUCGAUCACCGAAGAUGACUACAACGACUUCAAGAUCAAUUGCUCGAGCACCGCAAACUCCCAAUCAAGUGAGUGGGGGAAACAAAUGCGGGAGCUGAACAUAGGGGAACACACACUCGGUCCCGGCGGUUACAGAGUGGCGGAGCCUAUAUGGGACAAGGAGGAGGCGGACCGUGCCGAGCAAGGCCUACCGCCCCUCUUCGAUAAAUAUGGUGACAAGCAGACCAGGAACUUUGUCAGGGCCCGGUACAAGAAGGACCCGAAAACAAAGGAGCUUACCACGGAUCCGAAGACCAGGAAGCUUGAGCUUCUUCUGGUAAGGAAUACACCCCCGCGUAAUUAGCUCCAUAUGGUUGCAUUCUAAUUAAUGAAGCCAAAUUUCUAAAUGGUUCACAUUCCUUCCGCAAGCGACUGAAAGCAGUAGCGCGGGGUCGACUAAGAGCAACCCUUGGGACACCACUCUAAAUAGGGCGUUGAAUGUAAUGAAGAACAAGGAUAAGCUCAGUAAGCCGACGUCAGCUGGUCGUGUGGCCGGCAAAGGCUUGUCGACAAAAUGGGGGUCAUACUAUACCGCUGGUGUGCGGAAGGAGAAAAAGACCAGCUCGGAAAGCCAGGCGCGCGAGGUUCAAGAACUCAAGGCAUAGGUGGCGCGGAUUCCGGAGAUUGUCCAAGAGCAAGUGGAACAACGACUCGGAGCGACGAUCACCGCCAUUGUGCCUACCUUGAUCUCGGGGUUGAGUGCGUGGAUUGCGGGCGGCCAACAGGGGCCGCCCCCGAUUCCUAGCUUCAUGGCCAGCAACUCGCAGAAUGCGAUGGCAGGGCCAUUGGUGCCUCCGGCGGAGGCGGCAUUGGUGUCUCCGACGCCGGCACGGGAGCUUAAUGCACCCGGGUGUACGCCGGCCGGCACCUCUGCAGCAAGCGUUCCCUUCGUCAACUGCACGCCCGCCAUUGGCGGUGCCUCGACAUUAGCCAAGCUCGACACCAUCAUCACGGUAACUAAUUAAGCCUCUCUCGGCCGAGGACUUCAUCUCCUUGCCUUUGACUGGGCAUCCCUGACGCCCUACAUGUUUUCGCAGGGCACCGCCGACGUUCCGUGCACUCUCUUGCACUUCGUGAACAACGAGUUGGUCGAUGUCACCAAGGGCAAAAUCGUUCAACCGGGCAACCCCUUGUUCCACGGUACCCAGAUGCCACCCAACUUGUUUAGGGUUCAACUGGUUCGGGUGCUGCCAGGCUGCGACGAGUUGUUACCUCUGAUUCGACCCGUCGGGGCCGACGAUGAUGACGUGAUGACCCUCAGCGCCUGCCUGAGCUGGCCCCUGCUUUGGCCGAAGAGCCAGAUUCGUUUGGGGGCGGAGGACACCACCCCAAAGACAACACUGCCAGUCGUGCCGGCGCCAAGUCGACCCCAUGGCAAGACCGCCGCAACGCUGCCGGACAUCCCUAUGCCACUGGAUCCAAACAUGCAUAUGGCACAGGAUCAGAAUGACGACGAUGACGACGAUACAUUUGGCAACGUCGAUCAGUACUUUGCCGAUCAUGGGUACGAUGGCGACUUCAUGGGGCCUCCUUCUCAAGAACCCAACCCAACAAAAGACGUGUGUGAUCUAGCUGGUACGGCGGAGAAGCCAAGUUGCAACAGGCGCCGUCUGGCGUUCAGCUCUCAGGAGACGCCUCCAGCUGCCGACUUCACCGAGCCUCAGAUAGGCGAGGUGCGAAAUAUUAUCAGCCCCAACACACUCAAGAAGGCGGUCUGUGACCAGAACUCGGUCCCAUUACAGGAGAAGAAGAAGGCACGCAAAAGAAAUACUAAGAAGGGUGCGAGCCAGCCGGCACCGAGUACGAUCCGUGCUCAGGACGGGCCACCUUCACCUAAGGAUAUCUCGAGGAGGGUGCAUGUGGCGGGUAGGGCGAUGCUACCGACAAAUAUGCUCAAUGCUGCAACCGGUGCUAUGCGGAGUCUGCAUGACAGUGUUCUUUCUUUGGAGAAGCGGCUUCUCAGAGAGAAGGAUGUGGCAUACCCGGUUUUCGCGGCCAAGGUGCCAGAGGGCAAGGGCUUUGUGGAUAACUCCAUCGGGCGUACGAUCGUCCUGCAGUUUGAUGACAUCCACGCUAUGUUGAACCUUCAUCCGCUGCACUACACCUUCGUUCGGCUAUUUUCGCUGAGUAUGGAGAUGCGGAUCAUUCGCGACAAGACCCCGGACAUCGUGAUAGUCGACCCCUUCUACAUGCGUGCCAAGAUCUUGGGCAGCGCUGGGGACCGGCAAGUCGCGAGUUCUUACCUCGAAGGCGUCAUUCUGGCAAACCAAGAUAAGGAUAACUUCCUCGUGCCUUACUUUCCUGAGUAAGUCCUCCCCUCAACCGGCCCGUAACAUAUGAAUUCUUAGAUUUCGAUCGUUUUUCUUUCAACAUUCCGUGUUUUCUGCAGUGACACACAUUGCACGCUCAUCCUCCUAAGCCCCAAAUAUUCCAUGGCCACGUAUUUUGACCCGGACCGUCAGUCGAACGUAGACUACACAAAUGUCAAGAAGGUUCUUGAUGAUGUUCUCCCCGGCUACGCCAAAUCUGGAGGCACCUUCACCAAGCCUAUUCGUAAGUACGACAAGCACGUGUUCUCCCACAAUACGAUGUUCUGCUGCGUCAAGCAGCCGCCUGGUGGUCAGAAUGGUGCCUACUACGCCAUCCAUCACAUGCGGGCGAUCGUACGGGACCAUCAUCAACUUCUACUACCGAGUAAACUCAAAGAUUGGGCAAAGAGCGUGUCGGCAAUCCAGGACGCGGACCUCCGACAAGAAUUCUUUCGCAUCCAGUCGGAGUUUGCGGAAAUCAUCCAUCAAGAUGUCCUUCGUACCUCGGGGCAGUUCUACCUCAACAAUCAACCGUCCCACAGUGACAUCGACACAAUGCUACAAAUGCAGGCUGGCAACGACCGUUAUUUCAUGACUCCCAUGAUAGAUGGCGGCUUCAUCCACGCUCCGGUCCCUUGAGUCGAGUCGAAAGCAGUGAUGCUGUGUCUAGUUCUGAAACAUCGAUUGGCUCAUGUUGUAAUUAAACUUUAAUGAACUUGUAGUAUGUCUCUUUGGUUUCGAGAGUCGUUCAACUUAGAUGUAAUCGAUGCUAUUAAUGUCUUGCUUUUCUCUUCCGAUCGUUCUGUUGCAUACUUAUAUAUUGCUUAUGUAUUGUCUAUGAAUUGGUACUAACGUUUCGUUUGGCUAAUGCAUAGCGAUGCCGACGUAUGUCGUGUACAAGGGUAAGGUUCCCGGAGUCUACGACGACUGGGAGGAGUGUCGGAGACAGGUUCACCGAUUCAGCGGUAACAGUUACAAAGGAUACACCACUAGGGCCGAGGCCGAAUCUAGAUACGCCCGCUAUCUAGCGGGAGAGGGGAGGGAGCGUUGGAGGAACCGGAUGAAGACGAGUUUCAUCGUGAUGAUGCUCAUCGUGAUGACCGCAGCUCUCUUAUAUGUGAUGGUAGUUUAGAUGAUCGAUAUCGACUUGUAAUGUGAAGACAAACUCACUACUCGCGGUCUCGAGACUUGUAAUAUAAUGUUCUAUCUUUGUUCGGUCUUUUCAAUUCGGAGACUAAUAUGAUGAAUUGUACUCGUAGACUAAUAUGAUGAAUUGUAUUCAAAGACUAAUCUUCUAUUGUAUUCGAUGAAUCUGUUGUUGAUGUGUGCUGUCUAUAUUUUGUCUAAUUAUACAUUUUAUAACCUGUGCAAAAAACAGAAAAUAAAAAUAAAAAAAAGCUAAUAUUCAUACUAAUGGUGCAUCACAUCACAGUGCGCCAUUAGUAUGACAAAGUAUACUAAUGGCGCAUCAUUAAACAGUGCGCCAUUAGUAUGCCGAGGUUACUAAUGGCGCAUCUUGUUGUUGUGCGCCAUUAGUAUGCCAGAGCACCUGGGUAUACAUGGCCCCUGGGAGGCAUACUAAUGGCGCACUUCUGUAUACACUAAUGGCGCAUCAGAGGUGCGCCAUUAGUAUACCAGAUACUAAUGGCGCACCAGUGGUGUGCCAUUAGUAAAAUAUACUAAUGGUGUGGCACUAAUGGCGCACCACUAAUGCGCCAUUAAUGGCCAAAUUAGGUGCGCCAUUAGUAGGCCUUUUCCUAGUAGUGGUAGGUAAAAAAAUUGCUCAUUUUUAGCCGGUCGAAGUCUCAAAGGGCGCGACCGCGCGAGGGAGGCGAAGGUCGUGGGAGGCGCGACGGUUGACGGAAUUAAGUGAAGUUACAUCCACGCGCCGGCAUGGCGUGCGAACAGGCAGAAGCUAUACCGUCAGGCCUACGAUAUGGGUCUAGUAGACAUGACAUCUAGUGGGUCCCGCAUAGUUCUCAAGAACUCUUUGGGGGCUUGCAGCCGUUUAUUCACCGGGCAAGCCAGCAACCCCACGCCGUUCGCACACCCUACUCGUCCCCGUCUUCUACCUCACAACAGUUCGCUCCCAGUCGUCCCAUCCUUUCACAUUAGUUCACUCCCAGUUUUUGCGGGGUACAACAGUUCAACGUCUCCUAACCCUCCUCCAAAAUCCAUGGCCUCCCAAAUCUCCAUGGUCGCCGCUGAGUACCAGGUUAGAGCCAUCACCGGCGAUCAGUUCAUCGUCAUCUACACACGUCGAUCCGUGACGGUGAAAGCAUGGCUUGCUCGCUUCCUACGCAUGUUCAACAGUUCAACGGAUGAGUGGGUCACUGGGCUAGAUGUUGAGUACACCACAGUCGUGGGAUGAGAGAAGGAUCUAAAGGAUGAAGAGAGGAAGAAGCCCGUCAUGAUCCAGGUUUGCGUACAUAAUGUUUGCUUGGUCUACCACAUAUGCCAUGCCAACGUUAAGUGCCAAGAUUUUAAGAACUUCCUCAAGGACAAAAGAGUGAAAUUCGUUACUGUAGGCUUUAAGAACGACAAAGAAGUCCUGCAUCGGAUAGGUCUCGUUGUAGGCCAGCCCUUCGAUCUCCAGAAGGCAAGCCUGGUGUCCUCCUCUCAACCUUCAAUGCUGACCCUGGUAGCAGCCAUGAUUGAUCCUUCGUACGCUAAACUGAAGAAACCUCAUCACGAGUUUCAUCAUGCAUGGGAGUUGAAGACAUUUGAUGAAGAUCACAUCCUGUACGCAGCAAUGGAUGCCUACCUUUGUUUAAAUAUCUACAUGGGUUGGAUGAAGAAGCAGAGCCCAGUGUCCGGUUCAAGCAAAGAAGCAUUGGCGAAGAGGAAGAGGAAGAGGGAUGAGGACGAAGUCGAGGACGUGGACUCGGACUCUGAGUAGGUGGCAGUGCCGUCGCUCAUGCUGGUUCUACUGCAGUGUCAAGCUGACUAGUUGCUUUGUUUAUUUUCAAGGGUGUGUUGUGUUGAGGCCCCAGCAGAACUAUAUUUAUGUUCUUUCUCGUUAUUUGAACUGUUUAGUACGUAGAGUAGUACUAGUACUAUGUCUUACUACUGUUCGUCUUGCAGUUGGUACUACUGCUCGUACCUUCGUGUUCCCACUGUACUUAAUAUGUUCGUACUAGUAGUAUAAUUUGGGUCAGUCGAUUUGUGAAAGAAGUUCGAUGGAGCGAAGGAAGAAGACGUCAUAAGAGGUGGAAGCAGCCCUUCUAGCCAUCCAUGUUGCAUCAAACGGCUCACAUGAGUCGACUGACCCAAAUUGCUCCUUCAGAUUGCAGGACCCACAUGGAAUUCAAGGUCUCGAAGGUAGAUUCCGCGUCCGCACCCGGUUUGCGGGCUCGACGCGCGCGCGACCGGCUUCCGCCGCGAUAGCCACCAUGCGCGCCUCCUCCGCGCGAGCGGAGACGACAAUGACAUGCUAGUUCCUCCUCGCCGGCGUGCUGGAGCACACGCUCAUCCUCCUCUUCAUAUACUGCGUGCAUAGACGCGGCUCCACCAACUGCUCGCGUGCUUUGCAGCACGGCGGCAUGGCGAGGAGGGACUACAAACGAAGUGAGCGGGUGAGCCUUCAGCUUCAUGGCACAGGGAUGGUGGCGACACGGCGGUGAUGGGCGAGAAAUUGUUGGCCGGAGCAGGCGGGCGCCGACAUGCGCAAUGGCGGCGGCGGCAUAUUGAUGAGUGCGCGUAUGGGAGCUUACUUUAGUUCUAUAUGAGGUUGGUCAAACUUAAAAGAAAACCGUACUAGUACACGUAAACAUUAGACUUAGGCAGCGCUUUUUUUUAAGUUAGUACCACAGCCACGAUACGGAAUCCUGUGCAAGCACGUGAACCACGGCCGCGCGGUUGAUCGAACGAUGCAUCACCGUGUCCCGCUCGAAGGACAUCCACCGAACCUUUUUGUGUGUGUGAAAACAAUCCUCGAAUAUUGCUCAACUUUUUUUUCCUAGGAAAGUUCUUGACGCUGCAAUAUUUCCAUAUAUUUGAAUUUAGCUCCAGUUUGUGUUUAUUUGGAUUUGGAUGUUUUAGGUGCGCCCUAGUUUUUUUAAUACUUAUUUUGUGUGUGUGACUGAGAGAGAACGUGUGUAUGUGUCCAUAUGUGUGUUGUGGCGGAAGGGCAAUGUGGAGACGGUGUGUGUGUGUGAUACAGACAUAGAGAGGUGUGAAUGUGCAAACAAUCAUGCAUGAGUGAGACAUAGACAGAUGCCGAUACGUUGUGUAUACAUGAGAGAACGGUCUUCUAGUUCACUUGCGCACGCGCGCGCGCGUGUGUGUGUGUGUGUGUGUGUGUGUGUGUGUGUGUGUGAGAGAGAGAGAGAGAGAGAGAGAGAGAGAGGAGCAUCCGUAACACAACAACCAUCUCUCUCGAUUCGUCCAUCCCUCGCACGACCGCAUGCAACAUAUGCNNNNNNNNNNNNNNNNNNNNNNNNNNNNNNNNNNNNNNNNNNNNNNNNNNNNNNNNNNNNNNNNNNNNNNNNNNNNNNNNNNNNNNNNNNNNNNNNNNNNNNNNNNNNNNNNNNNNNNNNNNNNNNNNNNNNNNNNNNNNNNNNNNNNNNNNNNNNNNNNNNNNNNNNNNNNNNNNNNNNNNNNNNNNNNNNNNNNNNNNNNNNNNNNNNNNNNNNNNNNNNNNNNNNNNNNNNNNNNNNNNNNNNNNNNNNNNNNNNNNNNNNNNNNNNNNNNNNNNNNNNNNNNNNNNNNNNNNNNNNNNNNNNNNNNNNNNNNNNNNNNNNNNNNNNNNNNNNNNNNNNNNNNNNNNNNNNNNNNNNNNNNNNNNNNNNNNNNNNNNNNNNNNNNNNNNNNNNNNNNNNNNNNNNNNNNNNNNNNNNNNNNNNNNNNNNNNNNNNNNNNNNNNNNNACACACACACACACGCACGCACGCACGCACGCACGCACACACACACACACACACACGCACGCACGCAACACAACACACACACACUCCCCCGAGCACACAAUUCAUCCCCAUCCAAGGUUAUACGGCGACCACUCUCGCUUGUGCUUCUUUGCACCCCAACAUGCACAACACCUCAAUCUUCAAAGAGGGCAUCGAGCAGAUCAAAGACGGUGACCACACCGCACUAGAGAAUGCGGGGUCAUUUGGAAGCAGGGUGAUGUGACGACGGCUGACUGACUCCUCCCCCCACCCUCUCUCUCUCUUGCACAAAAUUACCAAUCCCUCUCUCCCCAGCACAAAAUUGUCAAUCCCUCAACCCAUGAGAUUCUUCCCCUCUCGUCCAUGUUUUUCCAGCUCUCUCAUCAAACAUGUUGUCUCUUCUCCUUCCACGUAUACAGAAUCAUGUAUAUUACAUGUCUCCAUCUUUCUCACAGACCUAACUUCUUCCUCUCUCUUUCUCUCUCUCUCUCUCCCUCUCCCUCCCUCUCUCUCUCUCUCUCUCUCUCUCUUUUUGUGUGUGUGUGUGUGUCUCAUUAGGUUUGUCUCCUACUCUCUCGUCCACAUACAUACAAUCUUUCCCGCCCUAUCUGCUCCAUCUUCAAAAGCUCUCUCUGCAUGUUUCAUUCACACAAUGGGAUAUGUCAAAAUGUUGCUUCUAUAAUGGCUGAUGUAGAGUUUUGGUUGUUUUUGUUGCAUCCUACAAAGUAAUAACUAUGAAAUGCAUUUAGAUUCUCAUUUGACCGGGAUUAUGUGAGUUUGAGCAUGUUGUGAAGUACUAGAGACCUUGUAUACAUCUUGGGAUUCGACAAUGAUUGUAACUAUUGAAUUGUAUAGACCAUUACAUUCAAAGUCAAUAGCCUAAUAUAUUCAUUUCAAAAUUUCAACAAAUGAUUAGUUCACUACAAACUAAGAAAACAAAUGUGUACUCCCUCCGUUUUUAUUUAAGUCCACGUAUUAGCAUUGGUCAAAGUCAAGUUUUGUAAACUCUUAGAAAGCUUAUAACAAAAAAUAUUAACAUAUACAAUAACAAAUAAAUACCAUUAGAUUCAUUAUUGAAUGUACUUCCACAUCAUACAUAUUUGUUAUGGUAAAUGUUUAUAUUUUUAUAUAAACUUGGUCAAAUUUUAGGAAGUUUGACUUCGGUCAAACCUAAUAUGCAGAGUUUACUACUACUACUCGCUAGUUGCUUAGCCGAAUCACUCAACACGCCACACGGGGAGUCCAGUGUCACAAAAUUUUGAGGUCGGCGGGAAAAUCUCCCGCGACCCUGAUUCGAGCAGUGGGAAGUUACCAUCAUAGCCUUCGGAACAGGCCUACGUACGACGCUUGGUAGGGGGCUGUUUUCGUAACUUCAGGUUCACCCUACCCAGCCAGCCCCACCCCGGCACCCAGAGUAGUACACCUGAAUACUCCCCAUUUUCUAUCCCCACCGCAAAAUAGACUUCUCCACGGCACCGCAGCCUUCGUGCUCCUCCCCUUUACAUUGGCGCACUCGUCCACUGCAGCGCAUCUGCCUCAUCGACGACCUCGUACGCCGCACUGGAGCCGGUCCACCAUCGUCGUUGUAGACGGAGCCUCUUCCCCGGCAUCGUCUUCCACGGUCUCGGAUCUGCUUCCCGGAAGCCGACACCAAGCGCAGAAGUACCACCGUCGUGGACAAUAAACUGACUCCCGUUGCCGACCAUGACUCACAGAGGCCGCCGCGACCAUCGUUCUCCUCCUCGAUUGGUAAUGUGUGUAUUGAAUCACUUAGCAGUACAUGUGCAGUUCCAAUUUUGUUCAUACCUACCCUUCAAUUUUCCUGGGUGCUAUUGUUCCCAUAAAAGUAAUUGGUUAUAGUCUCCAUUGUCCAACAGAAUAUCAGCUUGUAAUUGUGUGUCGCUCCUGUAUCGCGCUGUGCUUGGGUAGGUUUUUCAUCUGCAACCAGCAGUGUGGCAAAUGAUGGAAAAGUUUUUAGAACGAGCAAGAUGCCCAUGCGUUGCACGCAUCAAGAUGCAUUUGUAUGAGUAGUUUAUCUUGUGGGAGAAAAGGAUGAACAAGGGGAGGCCUUAUUUGCAAAUCUGGAGAGGGGUAUGGGUAUCUUUUUGCAAAAUUCCCAUUUGUUUCCUUCCUAUCUGUCAGAUAUAAAUUGAACGACCUAUAUUGCAAGAAAAAAUGUAUAGAGAAAAAAAAGUAGACAGUAAAGGAAGUAGAGAUAAAUAUUAAAUAAAUAUAACCGUAGAGAAGAGAGUAGAGAUAGCAGAGAUGUCGGGAAAGGAUCGCGCAUGCGCGGGAAAAAGCGGUCGGGCGUGCGCUAGUUUUGGCGCGCGGCGUCCGGCGCGCUUUAUAAAAUCCAACGCCCUCCCACCGCUCUGUGCCUUGCCACCGCUCCGUGCCUCGCCACCGCUCUCUCUCCGCUCUUUUUCGCCUCGCCGCUGCCACGCCACCAUGCCGCCGCAUCGCUAAGAAACUUGGGGAUACCGUGGCAUCCGCGCGCGCCCCUCCUGCGGCUUCUCUGUCGAGAUCCAGUUCCGCGGGAUGCGCCUCGGCCUCGGCGAUUUCGACACCGCCACCGAGCCCGCCCGCGCGUAUGACGCGACGGCGUGGCGCCUCCGGUGGCCUCAUAGAACAUUGAACUUCCCCAACGUGCCGAUGCGGGAGCGGGCGCAGGAGCUCGCGCCUCUUCUGUGGCUUAGCACCGACGAGGAUCGUCGCCACAACCGGAGGCGGGAGCACCGUCUCGGCAUUGCUGAGAUGGACCAGGAAGCCAUUGCGCUGUGGCGUCAACACUUCCCGUAGGACAUCAUCAACGAGCGCGGGUUCUAUGCGCAAAGGAGGGCGGAGAGGGAUAAGAGGAGGGCGGAGCGAGCCGCCUAUCGCGAGGACAAGCAUAGGAAAAAAGCGGAUGCUCAAUUCAACAUGAGGCUAGGAGCAGCGUCGCCCUGGUAACCCGACGAUGAUCGGUAUCUUCACGCCUACAGUCAGACGUCGGAGGAGGACAUCACCGAGGAGCAGUCGGACGACGAGGAGUAGUUGAAUUAUCUUUUUUGUAUCUAUCUAUGCUGAGAACUAUCCUCUACUCUCUAGUAUCUACUUCUCGAUCGCAGCACUGUAAGCGCUUUUUUAAAGCGCCGCACGUUGCAAUUCUGUUAGAGAUGCUCUAACAUGGCAGAUGAGUGCUUUAAUGUUGCCCACAAGAUGCGCGAGUAUUACUAGUAGUAUUUUUCUUGCCAGGUUGAGAUUUUGAAACCACGAGUGUGAACAUGCAGAGGAGCAAUGAAGACCAAACACGGGAUAUUCGGGACAUCUUCAAGGAGCGUGGCAAGUUAAAGAGGAGCUGCACCGAACCUGUAAAACGAGCUUUGGUAAGUAACACCGUUUCAAUUACUUUCGUUUAGCCUCGUGUUCUUCGAUGUGUAUAUGUUGUAGUUUCUGUUUCUCUUAAGCGUGGUGUUCUUCGAUGUGUAAUAAGAAGAGUCUUAAUCAUCCUAAUGCUUUCAUUUUUAACUUGAUGUAGGAAGUGGGUGUUCUCACCGUGUAGUCUGUUUUUAUAUUUCUUUUCCUUUUGAAUUCACUUCUCCGAGUUCUGUUUAUCUGGCUUCUACUAAAUGGAUCUAGGUUUCUCUGAGUAUUGAUCUAAAAAAGAAGUAACUUCAUGUCAGGAUGCAGUUCCUGCGAGGAGGGAAGUAUGGUCAACCUCGAGAUCAUGUUUCCAAAAUGAGGCUGGAUUACACACAAGGUGCCAGUUCCCUAAUGAUGCUGGAUUAGACACAAGGUGCAAAUUCCCAGAUGAUGCUGGAUUACACACAAGCCAGGUGGAGUCAUCAGCUGUUCGUGUCCUCGUGGCAUUAGUAAAGGCUGAAAGAAAGCGUGCAGCAGCCCAUGAGAAUGUAGCUGAGUUCCUGAAGAAGCGAAAAGAGCAAUCCGAUGCUCUCUUCACCCAAGCCAAAGAAGAGAUGGAAGAAGCCAGAAAUAAGCUAGCAGAGGCAGAGCAGGCUAGGCGUCUCCUGCUAUCUAAAACUGUUGUCAAUACAAAAUGUCCUUCAUAAUAGCUAGGUUCAAAUGUUUAUCCAGUCAGCAUGCCUGUUGUGAUGUCUGUACAUCUACUGAUGUGGCACAAAAUGUUUUUUUCGGGUCAUGUAAUAACCGCAAUUACUUUCCAAACAAUAACAGACGAAGCAUUGGACAUGGUAUAGUUCACGCGCAAGCCCGACAUUCCAUGUCCAACUUCCACAUCAAACUCAUGUUCACAGAUAUCUGCACAUUCAUACAUAAUGUCCACAACCAUGAUUCACUUCAAAGCCAAAAAAAUGUGAGGAGAGUUAUAAAUAAAGAAAAACCUCUACUAGUUCCUGCUACCAGUGCGAGCACAACAAGUCAAGACCAUGCGUAAAUUAAUUAUAUUUUAGUCAUUUUUUGUGUUCUAAAAUGCCUGCCGGCUCGCGGAAGGACGUGUUGCCGGCACACGCGCGGAUUCAAUGAAGGCAGGCGGGGCAGUCUUAAGCUGGUUGCACGUGGCGAGGAGGCGUGCUCAGCCGGGUCUCACUACUGGAAUCAGCUACUUUGCCAUCUGCCAGCUCUUUGGCGUCAGCUAACGGACGGCAAAGAAGCUCUUUGCCAUCAGCUACCUGAAAGUAGACGGCAAAGAACAGGCUGAUUGCAAAGAAAGCCUUUGCCAUCAGCCUGUUCUUUGCCGUCCGCUAGCUAACGGCAAAGAAUCUUUGCCGUCCGCUAGCGGAUGGCAAAGAGGGAGGGGGGCCCCACUGAGGAGCUGGUUAAAAAAUACUUAACGGCCCCCCUCUUUGUCGUCCGCUAGCGGACGGCAAACCGCACAUUAGCGGACGGCAAAGGUGGUGGACGGCAAAGAUUAAACAUAUCUAACGGUCGGCGCGCCCCACCCCCUCUAUCUCUGUUUCCCUCCCACACACGUGCGCCGCCGCCCCCACCACUCGCCGCCGCCCGGUCGCACCACCGCCCCGCCGCCCCAUCGUCCCGUUGCCCCGUCGCCCGGGCCCCCCGCCCCGUCUCGGCGCCGCCGCNNNNNNNNNNNNNNNNNNNNNNNNNNNNNNNNNNNNNNNNNNNNNNNNNNNNNNNNNNNNNNNNNNNNNNNNNNNNNNNNNNNNNNNNNNNNNNNNNNNNNNNNNNNNNNNNNNNNNNNNNNNNNNNNNNNNNNNNNNNNNNNNNNNNNNNNNNNNNNNNNNNNNNNNNNNNNNNNNNNNNNNNNNNNNNNNNNNNNNNNNNNNNNNNNNNNNNNNNNNNNNNNNNNNNNNNNNNNNNNNNNNNNNNNNNNNNNNNNNNNNNNNNNNNNNNNNNNNNNNNNNNNNNNNNNNNNNNNNNNNNNNNNNNNNNNNNNNNNNNNNNNNNNNNNNNNNNNNNNNNNNNNNNNNNNNNNNNNNNNNNNNNNNNNNNNNNNNNNNNNNNNNNNNNNNNNNNNNNNNNNNNNNNNNNNNNNNNNNNNNNNNNNNNNNNNNNNNNNNNNNNNNNNNNNNNNNNNNNNNNNNNNNNNNNNNNNNNNNNNNNNNNNNNNNNNNNNNNNNNNNNNNNNNNNNNNNNNNNNNNNNNNNNNNNNNNNNNNNNNNNNNNNNNNNNNNNNNNNNNNNNNNNNNNNNNNNNNNNNNNNNNNNNNNNNNNNNNNNNNNNNNNNNNNNNNNNNNNNNNNNNNNNNNNNNNNNNNNNNNNNNNNNNNNNNNNNNNNNNNNNNNNNNNNNNNNNNNNNNNNNNNNNNNNNNNNNNNNNNNNNNNNNNNNNNNNNNNNNNNNNNNNNNNNNNNNNNNNNNNNNNNNNNNNNNNNNNNNNNNNNNNNNNNNNNNNNNNNNNNNNNNNNNNNNNNNNNNNNNNNNNNNNNNNNNNNNNNNNNNNNNNNNNNNNNNNNNNNNNNNNNNNNNNNNNNNNNNNNNNNNNNNNNNNNNNNNNNNNNNNNNNNNNNNNNNNNNNNNNNNNNNNNNNNNNNNNNNNNNNNNNNNNNNNNNNNNNNNNNNNNNNNNNNNNNNNNNNNNNNNNNNNNNNNNNNNNNNNNNNNNNNNNNNNNNNNNNNNNNNNNNNNNNNNNNNNNNNNNNNNNNNNNNNNNNNNNNNNNNNNNNNNNNNNNNNNNNNNNNNNNNNNNNNNNNNNNNNNNNNNNNNNNNNNNNNNNNNNNNNNNNNNNNNNNNNNNNNNNNNNNNNNNNNNNNNNNNNNNNNNNNNNNNNNNNNNNNNNNNNNNNNNNNNNNNNNNNNNNNNNNNNNNNNNNNNNNNNNNNNNNNNNNNNNNNNNNNNNNNNNNNNNNNNNNNNNNNNNNNNNNNNNNNNNNNNNNNNNNNNNNNNNNNNNNNNNNNNNNNNNNNNNNNNNNNNNNNNNNNNNNNNNNNNNNNNNNNNNNNNNNNNNNNNNNNNNNNNNNNNNNNNNNNNNNNNNNNNNNNNNNNNNNNNNNNNNNNNNNNNNNNNNNNNNNNNNNNNNNNNNNNNNNNNNNNNNNNNNNNNNNNNNNNNNNNNNNNNNNNNNNNNNNNNNNNNNNNNNNNNNNNNNNNNNNNNNNNNNNNNNNNNNNNNNNNNNNNNNNNNNNNNNNNNNNNNNNNNNNNNNNNNNNNNNNNNNNNNNNNNNNNNNNNNNNNNNNNNNNNNNNNNNNNNNNNNNNNNNNNNNNNNNNNNNNNNNNNNNNNNNNNNNNNNNNNNNNNNNNNNNNNNNNNNNNNNNNNNNNNNNNNNNNNNNNNNNNNNNNNNNNNNNNNNNNNNNNNNNNNNNNNNNNNNNNNNNNNNNNNNNNNNNNNNNNNNNNNNNNNNNNNNNNNNNNNNNNNNNNNNNNNNNNNNNNNNNNNNNNNNNNNNNNNNNNNNNNNNNNNNNNNNNNNNNCUUAGUUUAGUUUUAGGUUUAGAUUUAGUUUUUUCCUUUUUUCUGUUUUUUUAGUUUUAGGUUUAUGUUUAGAUUAGAUUUAGGUUUAGUUUUAGGUUUAGUUCAGUUUUAGGAAAGAAAAAGAAGAAGAAGAAAAAAACAGGAGAGGAGGAGAAGAAGAAGAGGAAAAAGGAAAGGAGGAAGAAGAAGAGGAGGAGGAGAAGAAAAAAGAAGAAGAGGAAGAAGAAGAAGAAAAAAAUAGGAGAGGAGGAGAAGAAGAAGAGGAAAAAGGAAAGGAGGAAGAAGAAGAAGAAGAAGAAGAAGGAAAAAAAAGGAAGAAAAGGAAGAAGAGGAAGAAGAAGAAAAGGAAAAAAGACCCCGACCCGGCACCCCGACACNNNNNNNNNNNACUGGGUCAUAUAUUUGUGAAUUAUUAGUUAGAUCAUAUAUUUUUCGAUUUGGUUAUGAAAAACAUCAUAUAUAAUUGUGUUGAUCGGGUAGUUUUAAAUGUGUAGUUGUUUUGUUGUACUUUUUUUCAUGUUGUACUAAUUACGUUUAUUCUUUGUCAUGGCAGGUGUUGACAGAUGGUGGGCGCUGGUCGGGAGCGCGCCGAGGCCACUUCUUCGUCGGCGCGUAGUGUGAGGUCUUCCAUUCCACACGCACCUCUCCGCCGAGCGUUGCUGGACAGUAUGGCGACACCGCCGGGCCCUUCUUCGUCGACCGCGGUGCCCAGCAGGGGACAAGGUAAGAAGAAGGGCCGAGGUAGAGCACGUGGUCGCGGGAGAGGAGGUAGGGUGGCUCUUACGGCGCGUUCCUCGCUGCUGCCCCAGCUGUUUCACCCGAGCACGUGACUGCUAGGGUGGACUCGUUUGAGGAGGAGGCUACACGGACUCCGGUCCACGAGCCUCCGGUCCACGGGUCUUCGGCCCACGAGCCUCGGGUCGACGGGCCUUCGGCCCACGAGAGUUGGGCCCACGAGACCCCGGAGGAGCACACAUCUGGAUGGGGUACUUGGUCGGGUCAGCCUGAGGAGCCGAGUGGCCAUGCUGAUGAUGGCGGGGAGCCGAGUGGCCGUGUUGAUGAUGGCGGGGAGCCGACUCGUCUUGAGGAGGAGGGGGAGGGGAGCAACGUCUACCAGCGUGGUGCUACACGGCUCCUGUCCGUGCCGGUGACCCGCAAGCAGAGGUGGUUGACUUUCCCUGAUGGGGAGAGGUAAGUGCAUUUAAUCUUUUUGUACCUUCUGCAUUCAUGUUUCUUCAAAUAACUAAUGCGUUGGCCUUGUCAUGCUGCAGGGGUUGGGGCCACCAUGAAAGUGUCCGCCGGCCCAACUCCGUCCUUGGAGUUCUGAUUCGGCAAAACUUUCCGGGGUUUGUCAUGUUGCCUGGUGAGGGUCGGCUUCCAGAGGUUGGAUUGAGUCGGGAGCACUACUUGGCUACCCCGGCCCUGUCGGGUGAGAUUAUCGAUGGUGUCUUGUGCAAGACGAGGGCAGACAUGGUGAUCAGAAAGUUCUGGGUAAUUUCUCCUUUACACAAUUAAAAAUCUUCAACUAGCUAGUUAUUAAUUGUACUAAUCAAUAUUGUCUCAUUUGAUUGCAGACAUUCUACAGGUGUGAGGAGGGAUACGAGGAGGAGGCGGCAUAUGUUAUCCACAAGGAGUGCAAGCGCCUACUUCAGAACUUACGACAUGAGGCUCGGGUGCAGUCUGUUCGAGACUACUACGCCAACCGUGGUAUCAAGAAGUCCAAGCAGGAGUGCUGCGAUAUUUUCUUGAGUAAGGAGCAGUACAUGAAGGUAAUUCUUAAGGCCUUGUACUUAAUUACUUUAUUUAGUAAUUCAUAGUCGUAGUGCUGAAGUUUCUAUUUGCUAACUUAGGCCCCUCAGAGAUGGUGUGCGGAUCGGAUGGAUUGUUGGGAGGUAUUGGUCGAUGGGUGGUGCUCAAAAGAAUGGCUGGCCACCCACAAUGAGGCCAAGGACAAAUGUGCCCAAAUGGAAGGUGUGCCACACCACCAAGGCAACUCCAACUUAUUUCAGUACGGGCGGAACUGGGUAUGUGGUUUGCUUCAUGAUUCAUGCAAUUCAUUCAUCAUGCUAGCUUUAGCCCUUUAAUUACUAAUUUACUUUGUUUCUCUCUUUCAGGCAUGCUACAAUAAGGUGGAUAAGGUGCCAGAGGUGUACGACCUGUAUGCCAUGGCCCACACUGGCUCUUACAAGAAAGUCAAGGCUAAUGAUCCAAAGAACUUCACCAACAUCUCCGCCCACGAAAAGCUCGUGCAAUAUAGGGAUUAGGGGAAUGCGAGGAAAGGGGAGGACUUUAACCCGAGCCAGGGUCCCAUUGAUGCAGAGUUGCUGAUGAUAUCUGGUGGCGGGAGGUCCCAUGGCUCCAUAGCCAUGGGAGAUGGACUUAUCUGUUGUCCUAGCACUCUCCCGGAGAUCAAGGCGCGCCAGUCGAGCUCCGCUCCUGAGAUAAGGCCUCGUGAACGGCCAGUCCAACUCGCCAUCAAGGUUAGUUAUACAUACUCAGCUAUCUUUCUCCAUUACAUUGUGUGCGCUUCCAUCAAUGAUUAGAAAUGGUCAUGUGAGUGGUGUUGCAGGCUGCUAUACAGAGUGAGAGAGAUAGAACGGAGAAACUUUUGGCGGAGGCGGCAGAGAGGCAGCGGGAGUUGGAGGAGAGGACGACAAAGAUGUUGGAGGAGGAGAGGGAACGGAAUGACAUGCAGGCAAGGGCCAUGUAUGAGCUCCUUGUGGUAAGUUUCUUCUGCAGAUUACUUGCUAGUCUUAACAUUUGAGUCUCAUUACUAACUAGUAUGACUCUGUUGUGAAAACCAAAUGUGCAGUCUGUGUGCGAGAAGUCCGGUCAGACCGCUCCGCCGAUGCCAGUGAUUGCUCCUGGGAGCACGGUGAGUUUAAUUUGAAUGGACAUUACUUGCUAGUCUUAACAUUUGAGUGUCAUAAUGCUAACGAGACAUUGGAAAUGAUCUUUGGUGCAGCUUAACUCCAGAAACGCAUCGCACGAUCCUUCUCCAGCUACCGGCAUGACCCAGCCCGCUCCUACACCUCCCUGAUCGCGGUAAGUUUCUCUAGACUUAGACUUAGCUUUAUUUCCUCCAAUAUGCUUACCAUAAUGACCUAGAGUUAGCUUCCUUUCCUUCAAAAUGACUUAAUAAGCUUACUUAUGUCAAAAAUUGCAUAAUUAACUUAGUUAGCUCAUAAACGAUCCAUUUUACCUAAGUUAGCUCUGAUAUGACUCAUUUUACCUUAGUUAGCUUACAAGUGAUCCAAUUUAUCCAAGUUAGCUCUGAAAUGACCCAUUUUAGUAGAUUAGCUCAUAAAUGAUCCAUUUUACCUAGGUUAGCUUUAAAAUGACCCAUUUCACCUAGGUUAGCUCCAAAAUGACCCAUUUGACCUAGGUUAGCUCCAAAAUGACCCAUUUCACCUAGGUUAGCUCCAAAACGAUCAAUUUCACCUAAGUUAGCUAAAAACGAUCCAUUUCACCUAAACUAGCUCUUAAAUGAUCCAUUUCACCUAAGUUAGGUCAUAAACGACCCAUUUCAACUAAGUUAGCUCAUAAAAGCUCAUAAAUGAUCCAUUUCACCUAAGUUAGGUCAUAAACGACCCAUUUCAACUAAGUUAGCUCAUAAAAGCUCAUAAAUGAUCCAUUUCACCUAAGUUAGCUCAAAAACGAUCCAUUUCACCUUACUUAGCUCAAAAACGAUGCCCUUCACCUUAGUUAGCUCAUAAAUGACCCAUUUCAACUAAGUUAGCUCAUAAAUGAUCCAUUUCACCAAAGUUAGCUCAUGAACAACCCAUUUCAACUUAGUUAGCUCAUAUAUGAUCCAUUUCACCUAAGUUAGCUCAUAAAUGACAUAUACUUCUUGUUCUAGUCUUCUUCUUGUUCUAGUCACCUAUUUCUAACUUUCUUAUUUACCAUUUUGCAGAUUUCAUUCACUUCAUGGAAGCUAGCUUGCUAUGAUGGAGUGCUUUCUUUUCCUUUGAUGAAACUUGCUUAUGUAUGAAACUUACAUUGUAUGAAACUUCUUGUUCUAGCUUUGCUUAUGUAUGAAACUUCUUGUUCUAGAUGUGAUAUGUGAAACUGAUGUGUAUGGAUGAAACUAAUGUGUGAAACUGAUGUGAUAUGUGAUAUGAAACUUAUGUGCUGGAUAUGUGAUAUGAAACUUAUGUGCUGGAUAUGUGAUAUAUAUUUGUUGUCAUAUAUAUUUGCUGUGAAAAUUGUUGGAUUAAAAAAACAGAAAAAAAGAAACAAUAUGUAGGCUCUUUGUCGUCUGCCACCGACGGCAAAGGGCUCUUUGCCAUCAGCAGCAGACGGCAAAGAGGCCACGUGGCAGGCAGCUGUGCUUCCUGGGAGGCUGACCAAUUUGGUCAGUUUGCCUACAGUGGCUGACGGCAAAGGCUUUGCCGUCAGCAGCGGACGGCAAAGGCCUGCCGUUAACCACCUAACGGAGUAACAGCGCAUUUAUUGCCGUCCAUCUUCUUUGCCGUCCGCUGCUGAUGGCAAAGGACCCUUUGCCGUCAGCUGCCCGAAGCAGACGGCAACGCAGCUCUUAGCCGUCCCCUACUUUGCCAUCACCUUUUGCCGUUCGCGGCUGACGGCAAAGGUCUUUGCCGUUUGCCAUCCAUGCCUUUGCCGUCCGCCGUGGCAGAUGGCAAAGUAGCAGAUUCCUGUAGUGUCUGCAGCGAGUGCAACCCUCUUGGCCGGCGCGCCGGUUCAAUGCCUGCGCUAUGAGAGGUUGCAUCCGUGUCAGAGCAAUCACUCCCUCCAGUCCUUUUUUGUUUGGGUAUAACAAAAUCUCGUUUUCCAUUCACAUUUUACAAGUAAAAUUCAUGGACAAACUUUGACCCAAAGUACGAUGGGGACUAGUAAACCAGAAUAGAGGUAGUAGUUUUUUUUAAUCAAAGAAGGGUUUCCCCUUCCGAUUACUGAAAACUAGCAUCUAAAUCUAAACCAUAGUAUUUUUCCUAGAACUACCAGGUUCAACAUCUCGUAACAUAAACCCAUACAACCAUACGCCAAGGAGGUACGUAGUACUACGAAUUCCAUUUUCGCUCCAUACCAAUCGUUCUAAAAACUACAUACUACUUAUAACGUGCCAUUUAAAAUCGGAACUCUUAACCCCACUAAAAACAAUAUUUUAUACGUGGCUACUCGGUCUGUGGCAACUGGCAAGCCACGGCGCUCCAAGUCGUUCACCUGUGGUCCCGACCAUCAACUCCUACAAAGGUGCUCCAUCACGUACCCGGUACCCGCGAAUGCAGCAAUCAUGAACCUAGGGUUUCAGGGUUUAUUUGUUAACAUCGCCUUUACGUAACACUCGUGUGUGCGAGACAGCGAGAGGCCGACUGCGUGCGUGCGCCUCUUCUCUUCGUAUAUGUACUCCACCGUUUGUCUGGUGUCCAAAAAAUUAUAAUAACUACUAGCAAUGUGCCAAUGCGUUGCCACACGAUCAAAGUAGAUUAAUAAAUAUUCACCGAUUUGAUAGAAAAAAAUGUCUAGUUUUGAAAUACGUAUAUCACUAAAAAUAUAUUCCUUUGGCAGUUUUGAUGAGAUAAGGGAGGCAUGUUGUUGGUUUCAAGAUUCAAGAAGUGGUAUAUGUCUAAUUUCUACUCUUAUUAGCAAGAUGCCCGUGCAUUGCACGGAACAUGAAAAUCUCGCGGGAGAAAAGGAUGAAUGAGGGAAGGCCUUAUCUGCAAAUGUGGUGAAGAGUGUGGGUAAAUUGCCAUAUUUUCCUUCCUAUCCGUCAGAUAUAAACCGGGCGACCUACAUUGCAGGAUGGCAGGCCCACCAUCAUCACCAACUCUAUUUUUAUCCCUACUCUUAUAGAAAGCAUUGUCGGUGAUGAUCGUGUGCCUGCCAUCCUGUAAUAUAGGCCGUCCGAUCUAUAUCUGAUGGAUAGGAAGGAAACUAUGGCAGUUUUGCAAAAAGAUACCCACACCCUUCUCCACAUUUGCAAAUAAGGUCUUCCCUCGUUCAUCCUUUUCCCCCACAAGGUAAACUACUCAUACAAAUGCAUCUCGAUGUUCCGUGCAAUGCAUGGCAUCUUGCUAGUUGUUGCAAAAAUCCCAUGUGUGUGUGAGAGAGACGGAGAGUGGAGGAGGAUGGAGUGCAUGUGUGACAAAGACACAAGUAGUGUGUGUGCGAUAGGGUAUCAGCUUAAAAUGAGGCGAUAGUGUGUGUGUGCACGAUCGAGAGGGCGUGUCUCAAGAAGAGAAGAAAAAGUUACAUAGAUACAAGGAGCGAGAGAGAGACAUGUAUGCGAUGGUGGAAGCAUGCGUGUGCGGGUGUAUAAACCUAUCUAGAGGCUAGCUACUCGAUAAAUGCUUGUGAGAGAAAUACGAUUCGGGGUGCGAAAGCGAGAGUUUUGUGUGUGAGGGAGAGAGACAGUAGUCGGGAAGGGGGUGGAAGCAGGUGUUGUGUGUGUGUGUGUCUGUGAGAGAGAGAGAGAGAGAGGAGAUGGUAGUCGGGGUUGUCUGAUCGGUGUCAGUCUGGGAUGGAGAUGAAAAGGAGACCGCAACAAAUGUUGUGUCUACAGGAGCGAGAGAGAGUAAUUUUAGUGGUAUGAGUCAUAUGUAGAGACAUAUAGGGUGUGUGAGAGAAUCCCAUAGAGAGAAAGACAAAGUGAAAGACGAGUGGAGACUGUGUGUGUGGCGGUGAAAAAGAAAGCUUAGGUAUCGAGUGAUACCAGAGAACAGUAGAGACGUGAGAGAUAAUGAAAACCAUGUAAUGUAUAAUGAUAGGGAGAGUGUGACACUUAUCAAGGGAGACGUCGAGAGACCAUGUUUGCGAGGAUAGGAGAAACAUGAAGUGAGCGUGCGGGUGAGGUGGAGAAAAGAGAGUGAUGGCUACCUGAAGGAGCAUGCAUGCGAGAGAGAUGGGCGUGAAAGGAGUGAACAAAAAAGGGAUUCAAAUAUUUGAAUUCGAGAUGAUGAUACAUGUAAUCCAUACUCGAACCAAAAUUGAUCUAUCAAACAUGCAUACUCAUAUGAAUUCACGCACAUCUAUGUUAUUUAAUAUGUAGAUAUUACUGAUCCAUACAUUUUAGUAGAACAUAAUUUGGUUAAAUUGUUUCGAAUUCAACCUUAAGAUUUCGAGAUCGUUGUAUUUGUAAAUCAUAUUAUACAUAUAAAGGAGUAGAAUUCUUUGUUGUGCUUUUGAAAGUAUAUAUGUAAAAAAAUGAUGUAUAUAGAAUGUAAUUCCAAUUGAUAAUGGAUCCCACCCGAAAAAAUAGUAGAAUACAAACGGGAUUCGAAUUGAGUUGGCACGGUAAACGUGCACUGUGCAAAAUUUGAACGAAGCGGGGAAAGUCGCAGUAACCGCCCGAAACCAAAAUCUGCGAGAUGGAAAUCACUACUGCCUAUCCCUGCCGUGCAAAGCCUAUCUGCUAGAUUUCUAUAGGUUUCGAUAGGGGUAGGUUUGUAAUUUCACCCAAACGUGACGUAAUCGCCUCUCACCCGGAUUCAUACACGGUGGGCACAAAAACACAGUGUGCCCUCGGCCGAAAUCGACUCCCUCCCCGAUUCAUAUUCAUACACGGUGGGCGCCAAAAACAAACUCUCGUCGGCAAAUAUUCGGUGUAUGCAAGAUUACCGUCCUAUCCCCAACCGACUAAUGUUGCUGUGAUGUAGUAGAAAUUUGAAACGGGGGCUAAGUUUGUAAAUUUCCUCGCAUUUGAGACAAGCGCGCCCUGACUACAUGGUUCCCCCUUCCUCUCUACCUCCCUUUUCCCCAUUCAUACUCCAUGGGCGCCAAAACACCCUCUCCACCCCACCCUCCUCCGUCCGCCGCUGUCCGCCACCCCAUCCACCGCCGUCCUCCUCCACCAUGCCGGAGCUGAUACCCCGAUGCCGCUGUCCAUUACAAGAGAUCGACCUCUCUCAUCCACGCCUUCGUCCACCUUGCCGGCGCCGCUCCUACGACCGUCUCGUCCACCGCGCCCCGCCGCCACCGUCUACCCUCCUAGAUCUGCUUCCACGCCGCCGACAGCCAUCGCUACCACAGCACCAUCAAAUUCUCACCAGAUGCGUACACGGCGCCGCACCAGAGGCGGUACUCUUUUGUAUCUGCUCAACUUAUUUAUCGCAGCAAGAAAAUAGAUCGCCACUGCUUUACUCUGAGUUCUUGUCUUGGUUGCGAAGUUGCCUUUGUCCGGUUUGCACCUUCAGAUCCGCCAUGACACAUUCGACACUAUGCUCCCAAUGCUUAUGGUUUUCCCCUUUUGUAUUCCACACUAGUUAAAUCACAGUAGACUAAAUUUCAAAAUUGGGUCAGUUGAUUUUUCAGAGCUCGCCGGAGUUCACCGAUGCGAUCCAAGGGACUCGGGUGGUUGUGGGGCCUCGCCGAACGAAGAAAACUCGAUGCGGGUGGGGGGUGUGGGUGGCAGAGGAACACAGGCGGUGGCGGCCGGUGGUCCGGCCGGUGGCCCGUGCGGUGUUCUGUAUGGGAAGAAUCACAGACGAGGAAGAAGAAGGGUUAGGAGACGUAGGAUCUUCAUCCAGCCGCCUGAAAUGGUCGAGAGACAGCUGGGAGUUGCAUUCUUAAUGCGCUCUGGUUCAUCAUGUGUGGGCACUGCGCAACCAACAUUUUAUUAUCCAAAAUCUGCUUGCUCUUCUUUACCAUGUUCGAUAGAGCUGUGACAGAAAACGUAGGACCGAAUCCAGCAGACUGUACCCAUACUUCACUGGCCACACCACUAGCCCCACCACAUAGGACCUGCACUCCAGCAAAAGGUAUACCGAUUUCAUUUGCCAUAGCACCAGCUGUACCACAGAAAAAUCCCACUCCAGCAAAAAGUAAAGCAAGUCCACCGGCCGAAGACCUAUCCCAACUGCAUAGACAGCCAAUUCCUGCAGAUUGGAACCCCAUUCCAUUUAUUCCCUGUUUAAAAGACAAUGCUUUCAAUGUUGUUAGGGACUACGUGCAUAUAUUCCCAUCAUGGGAAGAUUAUUGUGAAGACAAACACCAUUUUCACAUCUUCCUGUCCAACUUAUGUGUAAGUGCUAUUAUUCAUGGUUAAUUUUUUCCUGUUUUCUGAUGAUUGAACACAUCAAUGAUUUACAUUACAUUGUUGUAACUAGGUGUCGGGGAAACUGAUCCACGAACACCUAUGGGACCGGCGGACCGAGCCCCUUUUGAUUCGGCGGGGGGCGGAGAUCGCACAAAGAGCGGAUCGAGGCAAAGCACACGAGCAGUUUACCCAGCUUCGUAGCUCUCCGGAGAUAUAAUACUCCUACUACUGCAUGUCUGAGUAUAUUGAGUUCUUGCUCGGGAGCGCUGAAUGCUACAGUACACUCUAGCUGCUAACGAGACCGAGCGUGAGUGUGUUUCUGGCUUCGAACCUUUCGAACCCCCCUCUACGUUGCGCAUGGGCCUCCUUUUAUAUGCUCAAGGGGUCACCGACAGGUGGCAACGUAGGCAAGGGUAAAAAUGGAAAAGUGUUGCGGUUGGUACAACUACCUGUACAGUGUAUCCUACCUAACCCUGACGGUAGGGGACAAAGGCAUUAAAUUCCCGUCUGCGUCGCCCAAAUAGUGCAGAAAGGGACCGUCAGGGGCGCCACCGCUUGCCACGAUGGCAAUCUUGUCAGCGCCGCUUGCCACUGCGCACCGCUGGCUGCACAACCUCUUGCCACGUGCACCUGGAAAGGCCCCAGGGCGACAUGUUGGUGGAUAUGCUGGAGCGUGGGUACAGAGUGGUAGCUUGCCGCGGCAAGCGCCUUGCCGCGGUUGUUGUCUUGUCGCGUCCGGAAGCUUGUCGCUCACCGGGCCUUGCCGGGACGCGUGGCGCGUCGCGGCAAGUUCCUUGAGAUGCCUUGGUUGGCCUUCCCGGCAAGCUCCUCUUGCUGGGGCCUUGUCUCCUUGGCUUGAAUACUUUGUUCUUGAAUGGCUCCAAAGGAACCACGAAGGACCUUGGCGGUCACCCGACAAGCCUUGCCGCGGGGUGCUGCAACUACCCGCACACAAGUUCGGGAUACUAGGGUACCCUACUCUAGUACACCGACAGGAGCCCCCGGGCCUGGGCCACACACGGUGCCGAGCGCUGUUGGGCCAGGCCCAAAACAGGGCACGGGCACGCGCGGCCUGGGUUACGCCGUAUCUUACUCCGUAUCAACCGCGCCCUCCCCGAACGGCACGCGUCGAAUGCGGCAUCGUGGGAGAGAUCGUGGGUGGUUUCUUUAUUCGGAAAGACGGAACAUCCGCCCCCUCCCUCUUUAUAAGCAGGGGAAACAGGGGCAGUUCGCCCAUCUCGCCGGUUGCUACUCCAACCUCAGAAAUCUCCGCCGCUCCCCCCUUCUUCCCAAAGAUGAAAGAGAGCAGCGCUCCGCCCCCCAUCGCCACCAGCACCACCAGCACCGUCGAUCUCCCCCACCACCUCUGCCAUGGCUCCGAAAGCCGACAAGGGGAAGGGUGUGAAGUCGGCCAAGGCGCAGCGGCUCGCGGCGCUGCGAAAGGAGCGGGCAACCUCCCCCCCCCCCAGCUCGCCGCGAAGGAGCUGAGGGAGUAUUACUACCUCUUCUGGUCGACGGAGACGCGAGCGCAUCCACGCACGAAGGUACUCUCAGCUGCCGCUUCGGAAUUGGCUCCGAAUGGAUAUCCCUUCUUCGCGUUGUUCUUCUACUGCAAGCUCUGCCCGCCUUUCUCUGAAUUUUUCUGUGACAUCAUGAACACUUACGGGCUCCGCCUCCUUGACUUCACCCCCAAUGCCGUUCUGACCAUGGCAGUUUUCGCACAUCUCUGCAAAAACUUUGUCGGAGUCUAUCCAAAUGUAGCUCUUUUCCGCCACUUCUUUAUGCCUCGAGUUGAGAGAGGAGAGCCUUUAUCCAGCGGAAUCGCCUGGAUCUCGAGAACCGGCAAGAAGGAAGCUUAUCUGGAGGGAGAGCUCCGCAGCAAGUUGGAUGAAUGGAGAGCAGAUUGGUGCUGGAUUGUCGAGGAGAACCCGCAGCCAUUUACCGCCCAGCGCCAAGCCCCAGUAGUGCGCGGCAACGAUUGGAGCAACGUGGCCCCGGAAGACAGUAGGCUGAAGAUUGCCGUCACCCGGAUCCUACGCCUCGGGCUUGCCGGGCUCACCGUAGGCGCUGUUGGCGCAGAUUUUCUCUGUUGCCGCAUCGCCCCCCUGCAGGAGAGGAGGAGGCCCGCCUGGGAGUUCCAGAAUGCGGUGGAUAUCAUGAGGCUGCGCCCGGGCCUCAACUUCAACUUCACCGUCCUGGAACUGGACGCGAUGCUCCUGGAACUGUUCAAGCACGAUCCUGAACAUCCCGGAGUGUUCAGGUUGCCGAGGCGUGUCAUUCCGCUGUGCAACAACUCCUCGCUCGACUGCAUCCGUGCCAUGAUGCCGCUGUGCGAUUCGCAUGGAAUUGUCCCCACUUGGCAAGAGCCUGCAGACGACGUCGUGCAGGAGUUCUUUGAUAGCUUGGUGGAAGUGCCGAUCCGCUCUGAUGAACAGAAGAGCCUCACCCGCGACACUACCGAUGAUGAGAUGCAGCGCAUCGCCACUAGGCUGGAAGAGGCGGCGGCAGCCGCUGCCGCGGGCGAGUUUGGAUUCACCAUGGAGGAGGCAGAGGCAGCAGAGGCGGCAAGCCUUGUCGAGCAAGGAGAGAUUGCCGGUGAGGGAGAGCUUGCCGGGUCUGAAGCUGAGUUGAGCGAGCCCGCCGAGGGCGCGAGCGAAUCGCUGAGGAUUGGCUCCUCCUCUUCCCCACCUCCAGACAGCUUGCCGCAAGCAGAGCCCCCAGCUCCACCAAGAAGGCGUCUCCGCAAGGCCGGUGACGUAGCGGGGCGGCAGACGAGUCAACAGCCGCCGCGCCGCGCGACACGCUCUACCGCGGCAAGCACUAUUGCUGCGGGAGCGCCUCACGCCGCUGCGGCAACUGGAGCGGGGUCUUCCCGGUCCACCGCUUCUGCCCUUGCCAAGCGGCUAAGGGAGCCUACUCCUCCGCCUCGUCGCGCCGGAGGGGAGCCGGACUUUGAUCUCUCCGCGCUCAGCUCCGACGAGGAAGAAGAAGAGUAAGAUUCUCUGCUAUACUCGUAGUUCUUCAAUUCUUGCUGUUUUGUCUUGUAUCUGAUUUGCUUUACUCCGAACCCAUUCCUUUUCAGACGCUGGCCCAGAGAGCGGCGAAGAGAGCCAAGGCCCCGGUGAUUGUCAUCGAGGAUGAACCCAUUGCGACGGCAGGGGACAUGUCCGAGACCACCUUGCCGGACCCGGCAACCAUUCCCCAAAGCAGCCCCCAGCGCAGCCCCCAGCGUAAGUAUAUGGUUUACUUCCUGUUGUUAGGCGCGCAUGGGUGCUCUUUCUUUGCUGAUAUCUGACUGUUGGUUUGUGUAGGAGCAGAGCAACCUCACCAGGAGUGCCCAGAAGCCGCUCCCAAAAUGCCAUCUGCUUCGACUACACCUCCAAGGAAGGAUUCCCCGGCAAGGGAGCGUUCUCCGGCAAGGGAGAAUUCUCCGGCAAGAGACAGCACCAGCGACCCUCCGGUGGUUGAGACCACGACUGAAGAUCCUAGUACAGGUAAUCCUCUUGCUUGAAAACUUUCCUUGGGUUCUUCUUCUUCUGAUUUUCUUUUUGAAUAUUUGCUUGACUUUUCUCCCUUCUCUGGUCGUCAGAUCCAUCUGCCAUGGAGCCAAUGGAAACCGAGGUCGCCGGCGAGGAGAACGCGCGUGGCAAUACCGACGAUGCCGUUGCCACCGAAGAAGAAGCCGACGCUGAUGAUCCCGCCGGCAAGAGGCCACCAAAGCUGUCGCCGCAGAAGUUGGCGAGGGGUCCGGCGAUCGCACUGACGACCCUGAGGCCGCAGGAGUGCCAGGCGCUAUGCCGACCGCCAAUCCCUUCGCCGCUGCUGCCGUGUCAGGCUCCGAAGAGCCCCAGCCCGGCACCUAUUUGAAGGCCCGUGAUGGCGUCUUCAUCAAGCUCCCCUGGGCGUCAAGCUCCAGGGCGCCGGUCGAAGGAGAAAUCUUGGAUGGAGAGGUGCUCGCCUCCGCUGGGCUGACGCUGGUCGACGCGCCAAGCAGCAGCAGCGGCGAGCCUGAGGAGGAGCGGUUGCUGCGGAAGCUGUUGUCACUAUACCGUGCUUGACAGGCCAAGCUGGAAUCGCGAGAAGCGCUUGUUGCGAAGGUGGCAGUAGACAUUGAGAAGCGCGUGGAGGAGCUCCGGGGUCUCAGGCAGGAAGCUCUCCGGUCCCUGGCAGAGGAGUGGGAGCAACUCACCGAGGCGCGGAAAGCCUUCCUCCUCGAGAAGGCUGAAGUUGAAGAGCAACAGCGGCUUGUCGCCGAGAAGCUAUCUGCGCAGGAAGGCGAGUUGGCGCAGCGGAAGGUCAAUCUUGACAGCCAUGAGGAGGAGCUUGCCGCGCGCGAGCAAACAUUUGGUGGGGCUCUCAAGGAAGCAAAGGAUGCUGCCGCAACUGCCGAGGCCACCAAGAAGGAGCUGGAGACGAAGGUGGCACAGCUGGAGGCCGACCUCAAGGCGAGCGGCGAGGAGCUUGCUGCGCUCAAGCGUGAGCGCGAGAAGGACGCCACCGCUCAUGGUGAGCUGCAGGGUCGUCUUGCUGAGAGGAGCAAGGAGCUUAGCGCCGCCAAGGACUCCAAUGCAGAUCUUGAGUUGAAGCUGACUACAUUGACAAUUACUCUGGACGGCGCCAAGGAGCGGGAGGUGGCCUUGAAGGAGAAGAUCAAGGCCGACGAGGCGCUGCUGGCGAGUGCUGCUGCCGCCCAGAACACUUUUAGGGAGAAUGUGGAGCACUGGACGGAGGGUCUCGUGAAUGUUGCCGCAACCAUCGACGGGGAGCUGGCGCAGCUGGGGAUGGAGGAUCUCGGGUACUCCUCCGAUGAGCACCUCCAACCCAGCGCCAAGCUCAGCUUGUUCUUCAAAGGCGCGGCGACGGCCCUCCAGCGACUCCGGGAAAGGAUCCCAAAGCAGCUGGCCGACGAGUCGCGCAAGACCUGCGCGGGAGCUCUUCAAAAGGUGCUGGUGAAGGUGGCCUUCCGCAACCCAGGCCUCAACCUCACCAACGUCCUCAGGUCCUUGCCGCCGGAUGCUGAUCUGGAAGCGUUCAAGACCCUUGUCGCACCCAUUGUGGACAAGGUGAGCGGAAUCAAGAGGGUUGAGGGCGAUCGCGUAGAUUAGGCCGCCCGUUUUCCCUUUUUCUUGUCGCUACUGGUCAUGUUAUGAGAACAAUCUGUUAGAGUUGCGACAAGCUAUCUUGUAAUAUAACUCCAUUUUGGGUAGCGAUUACUAUGUUAUUUCCUUUACUUGAUUCCUUCCUUUGUAUGUUUUUGCCCUACGCUUUUAGGGAACUUGUCGGCGCAGGCACCUUAGCCGCGAGCGCUGAGUGCGGAACGUCAGCAACCUGCUGGCGGUGCCGCUACCGACAAGAAACCUUGUCGCAACUAGUCACAGCUCACUUAAGUUGUUGAGCGGACUCGAAACAAAGUAAGGGCGCAACUAGCUACGAGUUGGUUCCUUCGCGCACAGGUUUUCCAUACAAAGCACGGUCGUUUGAGGAAGAUAACUCAAAAAUUUUAAAACUGAUUGCUCAAACUUUGGCAACUUAGCUUUUCUGUCGUUUGCUUCCCGGUAAGGCGAAACUUUCUUGAACGACGCCUGGUCCACAUUAUCUUCUCCUUUCGGCAAGUGCUCUUGCGCCAAUGUGGUGACCACAUAUGCCUCCAUGUAUCUCUGCCAACAGCUGUUGUCCGUCUUCCCGGCGAAUACACUUCAAUUUCACACCGUUGAGUCUUCUUCUGUACAGUGUGUCGUUGACAAACUGGUACAUACUUGACUGCCGGGCUACUCUUUCCGCUUCUUCUUGCUCUUCGGGAAGUUCUCCUGUCUGAAGGAAAUGAACAAUCUGCUGUGCCCAUGCUGGAGCUUGUGGCUCGACAACAAGGACUAAAGGCACAUCUGCUGCUGCGGGAACAUCCGCUUCUACAGCGAGAACCUGCGGCUCAGCUGGAGCUUGAUGUUCCCCAGCAAGCUUGCCGGAGCAAAACUUGUCGGGAGUGUCUGCUUCAACAGAACAAACCCUAAGGCUUGCCGGAGCAAACUGCUCCUCAGCACCCUUGGUGUUGAUCUUGGGGACCUUCUUGGCGGCGGCCUCGGGGAGUUCUUCCGGAAAAUAGUCGCCAGAAAUCAACUUCCUCUUUUUGCACUGUCCAGUUGAUGGCGUUACAGACGGCUGAGUCAGCUUGAGCACAAAGAUCCCUGGUUCCACAGGUAACUUAAGUGCGGCGCACUUUGACAGGCCAUCGGCAAUGUUGUUCUGAGCUCUUGGAACAUGUUCCAUCUGUAGGCCGUCAAAGUGCUCUUCUAGCUUUCUCACUUCAUCAACGUAAGCUUCCAUCAACGGACUCUGAUAAUUCUUGUUCACCUGGCGGAUGACAAGCUGUGAGUCACCCCUGACAAUGAGCUUCUUGAUCCCAAGGUCUGUUGCGAUCCUGAGACCGGCAAGCAAACCUUCAUAUUCUGCGGUAUUGUUUGUUGCUUUCUCCUUGGGAAAGUCCAUCUGGACUACGUACUUGAGGUGUUCUCCAGUGGGUGCAACAAGUAGCACGCCUGCACCGGCGCCUUGCAGCGAGAAGGCACCAUCAAAGUACAUCAGCCACUCUUUGCUUGCUUCCUUGACGGGGAUGCUUGUUUCUGGAAUUUCUUCAUCUUGUGUUGGCGUCCACUCUGCUAUGAACUCUGCCAAUGCUCUGCUUCUGAUAGUUGAAGUGCUCUCAAACUUGAGGCCAAAGCUUGACAGUUCUAGUGCCCACUCGACAAUCCUGCCUGUUGCUUCUGGAUUUUGCAGUAUCCUCUUCAGCGGAAAACGAGUGACGACUGUGAUCUCAUGUGCUUGGAAGUAAUGGCGCAGCUUUCUCAAGGCCAUUAGAAGGCCGAAAAGCAAUUUCUGCACACCAGAGUACCUUGACCUAGCCCCCUGCAGAAAGGAACUGACAAAGUAAAUUGGGCGCUGCACCAUUCUCUUCUGCAUCUCCUUACGCGCCUACGCAGAUCCAUCUUUGUCGGGACCAGAGCUUGUCGGUGAAGUUUCCUGCUUGUCGCUGGAUGCAUCUGCCGUGGUUGCUGGCUCAUCAUCCGCCUCCCUCUCCGCCACUAACGCAGCACUAACCACUUGAUUGGUUGCCGCUAUAUAUAGCAGCAACUUCUCUUGUGGCUUAGGUGCGACAAGUGUUGGAGCGGAGGACAGGUAUCUCUUCAAGUCCUGCAGCGCAGCCUCCGCCUCCGGAGUCCAUUUCAUUGGACCUGCCUUUUUCAAUAUUUUGAAAAACGGCAAGGCGCGCUCGGUAGAUCUAGAGAUAAACCUACUGAGAGCAGCCACGCAACCGGCAAGUCUUCGUACAUCCUUGACGCGCUUUGGUGCUUCAAUCUGCUCAAUGGCCUUGAUCUUGUCGGGAUUGGCUUCAAUUCCCCGCUGAGACACAAAGAACCCGAGAAGCUUGCCGGAGGGGACUCCAAACACACACUUCUCGGGGUUAAGCUUGAGAUUGAUCUUGCGCAGAUUUGCAAAGGUUUCAUCUAAAUCUUGAAUCAGAGUUGCCUUGUCCUUGCUCUUGACCACUAUGUCAUCCAUGUAGGCUUCCACAUUUCUGUGUAUUUGUGGCUCAAAAGCGUCAUGGACUACCCUUGCAAAUGUUGAACCAGCAUUCUUUAAACCGAAAGGCAUCCGUAUGAAACAGUAUGUGCCACAUGGAGUGAUGAAAGCGGUCUUCUCCUCAUCCUCUUCUGCCAUGAAGAUCUGAUGGUAUCCUGAGUAUGCAUCAAGAAAUGAAAGCAAGUCACAUCCGGCCGUGGAGUCAACAAUCUGGUCGAUGCGCGGCAAGGGAAAUGGGUCUUUGGGACAAGCUUUAUUGACAUCGGUAAAGUCGAUACAAAGCCUCCAUUUCCCAUUUGCCUUGCGUACGACUACAGGAUUGGCCAACCAUGUAGGAUGGAGUACUCCUCUGACAAGGCCUGCUGCUUCCAAUUUCUUGAUUUCUUCUGCGAUGAAUUCUUGGCGCUCCACUGCCUGUUUCCUGACUUUCUGCUUGAUGGGCCACGCAUGAGGACAGACGGCAAGAUGGUGCUCGAUUACUUUCCUGGGAACACCGGGGAUGUCAGACGGUUGCCACGCAAACACGUCGACGUUCGCCCGCAGGAAAGCAACGAGCGCGCUUUCCUAUUUAGGGUCGAGAGUGGCACUGAUGGUGAAGGUACCACCAGUGCCAUCCUCCUUGGCGGACACCUUCUUGGUCUCUGGUGGAGCUGCCAUUGUCUUCUUACACUUGCCGGUGGAGCUCGAUGGUGCGUCCUCGACGGUAGCGCAGCACUCCGAAGAGGUGCGCUUGCCGGAGUGGGCAUCAGAAUUCUUGCCAGACUUGGUCUUCUUCUUCCCCCCGGGAGCUUCAGCGGCAAGUGACUUGCGAUCUAUUGCGGCUGCUGCUUCCCGUUAGAUCUUGUCGGCUCAGAUAAGGGCAUCCUUCUUGUCACCAGGGAUAGAGAUGACACUUAUCGGGCCCAGCAUCUUCAGCAUGUUGUAUGCAUAGUGAGAGGCUGCCAUGAAUUUGGCGAGUGCUGGACGACCGAGUAUCCCAUUGUAAGGCAAUGAAAGUCAGCAACGUCAAAAGUGACCCUCUCAGUCCUGAAGUUCAACUCGCUGCCGAAUGUCACCGGCAACGUGAUCUUUCCCUUCGGCUUGCUCCUUCCCGGAUUGAUUCCUUGGAAUGUGUCGGUCUCUUCGAGCUCGCUAUCAGGGAUCUGGAGUUUGUGGAGUACCGCGGAGGAGAUCAGGUUCAGGACGGCCCCGCGGUCAACUAGCAUCUUAGUGACCUUGAGGUUGCGGAUAGUUGGUGAAACCAACAUCGGCAAGCACCCGACCGCAGUUAUGCGAUCAGGGUGGUCCUCAAUAUCAAAGAUGAUAGGCGUGCUGGACCAUUUCAGAGGCUUGCGUGACUCGAUGGGUGGUUCUGCCGCAUUGACUUCCCGCACCCACUGCUUGAGCUGGCGGUGUGAAGUACGCAGAGAAGCACCGCCGUCAACGCACAGGACCUUUGUGGCUUUCUGGAACUCCUGCUCAUCGGUCUCAUCAUCAUCCAUAUCUUCAUCGUCAUCGUCAUCUUCAUCCUUGUCGCGGCCGCGGGGAGGUCUGUCUCCUUGCCGCUGCUUGGCCUUGCCGCGGCGUCCCCCUCGGCCGGGGCGUUUCUAGCCGGCUCCUCCAACACCUUCCUGGGCCUUCUCCUUGUCGCGUCGCUCGUAUUCAGCCUUUUGCUGCUCGACAAGCUGCUCGACUUUCUUGCAGCUCUGGAGGUCAUGGCCCUUGGUGCGGUGGAUCUUGCAGUACUGCUUGUUGGUGCCGUCCUGCUUGUCGGUGACCGCCACGGCCUGGUAGUUGGUGCCCGCGGCAAUCUCCUUGUCGGAGCUACCAGCUUUGGCUUUCUUGGCGCCACCUCCGUUGCCGGACUGCUCAACGACUAGCACUUCUUUGCCUUUCUUCUUCCUGUUGUUCCGCCACCGGUUUUUCUUUGUCGGGGCAGCAUCCUCACUAUCAGAUCCUCCUACUUCUGUAUUCUCUCCAGGGAGUUUCCUCCCUUCCUCAGCAUGUGCACACUUGUCGGCCAGGGCAUAUAGCUCACUGACAUCCCUGAUCUUGCACAUCGCCAUCUCCUCCCGCAUCCUGCGGUUCCGCAUGUUCUGAUGGAACGCGCUGAUUACCGCGGCAGGGUGGACAUCUGGGAUGUUGUGCUGUACACGGCUGAAUCUCCGAAUGUACUUGCGUAGGGGCUCUCCUUCCUUCUGGGUGAGCAGAUGAAGGUCGCUCUCUUGGCCAUGAGGCUUGUGGCCGCCUGUAAAGGCGCCGACAAACUGAUGGCAUAGGUCUGCCCAGGAGGAUAUGGAGUUGUCCGGCAAGUGCAUGAGCCAGGAUCUGACAUUGGGCUUGAGCACCAGCGGGAAGUAGUUGGCAAGGAUCUUGUCGUCCCGCCCCCCGGCAGCUUGCACCGCGAUGGUGUAGAUGCUGAGGAACUCCGACGGAUGCGACUUGCCGUCGUACUUCUCUGGUACGUCUGGCUUGAAAUUCUUCGUGCUGGGCCACUGGACUUGCCGCAGCUCAUGAGUGAAUGCAGGGCAACCUACCGCGUACGGCAAGUCACCUGGUUCCCUGGUGCAUGCAUGUCGACAGAGGGCCCAGCGCGCUGGUCCGAUUGACGCCGCGCUUCUCUUUGGCGCUCGAUGCGAGUACGAGCGUCUUCUUGCUGUCGUUCGUGAAGAACUUGGCGCUGAUCGCGACAAGCUCGUGGAUCUGAUGAUGCGGUGGAGUCGCUGUCGAGGUGGAUCCGGCGAGUCAGCGAUCUUGGCCUUCGGGGUGGAGAGUGCAUGGUGGUUGCACCCCCACCGGUUUUGCCGCCAUCGGCUCACGCCUGGCAGUCCUGCCGCGGCAUCGAUGUACUCGGCUGCCGCGGAGUGUCGCCGUUGGCAAAGCCGAUGAGACUCUGAAUGGUGGCCCUCCAUUCGUCGAUCUUGUCUGCCGUUGGAGGGUAAUCCAGGAGCAGUUGAGCUCGCGCCAAAGCUUCUGCUGGAGUGGUGGGCGGCAGUGGCGAACGGUGCGAGGAGCGGGAUAUGAUCAGACUUCUAACUAUGUUAGAAGGAGAAGUAUCCCGUCCAGGCGACCGUGCCUCGCUCGUGCCAGCAUGUUGGCGUGCAUGCUGGUCUUGAGCACCCCGAGAUCCACUAGCUCGAUCUUGGUCCAACGAACGCAUGGUACUGCGAAUACCAUGACGAUGUCGGUCCUACGCCUCUUGAGAUGGGCGCGGUGCAUGUACGGACGCCGAGGUCUGCGCAGCCUUGCCCUUGGGCCUGGCAGCGCCUACCCCACCAUCCGUUUGCUCCGGUGGUGGCGGGAUCGACGUGGACGGAACAAUUGCCUCCGAAGCCUUCUUCUUCGGUGGCAUGUCAAUGAAGAAGAUGAAGAUCUAGCUCGUGUGAAUGCCGGAUCAGGUUCACACAAUCUCGACGCCCCCUACCUGGCGCGCCAAAGAUGUCGGGGAAACUGAUCCACGAACACCUAUGGGACCGGCGGACCGAGCCCCUUUCGGUUCGGCGGGGGGCGGAGAUCGCACGAAGAGCGGAUCGAGGCGAAGCACACAAGCAGUUUACCCAGCUUCGGAGCUCUCCGGAGAGAUAAUACUCCUACUGCUGCAUGUCUGAGUAUAUUGAGUUCUUGCUCGGGAGCGCUGAAUGCUACAGUACACUCUAGCUGCUAACGAGACCGAGCAUGAGUGUGUUUCUGGCUUCGAACCUUACGAACCCCCCUCUACGUUGCGCAUGGGCCUCCUUUUAUAUGCUCAAGGGGUCACCGACAGGUGGCAACGUAGGAAAGGGUAAAAAUGGAAAAGUGUUGCGGUUGGUACAACUACCUGUACAGUGUAUCCUACCUAACCCUGACGGCAGGGGACAAAGGCAUUAAAUGCCCGUCUGCGUCGCCCAAAUAGUGCAGAAAGGGACCGUCAGGGGCGCCACCGCUUGCCACGAUGGCAAUCUUGUCAGCGCCGCUUGCCACUACGCACCGCUGGCUGCACAGCCUCUUGCCACGCGCGCCUGGAAAGGCCCCAGGGUGACACGUUGGUGGAUAUGCUGGAGCCUGGGCACAGAGUGGUAGCUUGCCGCGGCAAGCGCCUUGCCGCGGUCGUUGUCUUGUCGCGUCCGGAAGCUUGUCGCUCACCGGGCCUUGCCGGGACGCGUGGCGCGUCGCGGCAAGUUCCUUGAGAUGCCUUGGUUGGCCUUCUCGGCAAGCUCCUCUUGCCGGGGCCUUGUCUCCUUGGCUUGAAUACUUUGUUCUUGAAUGGCUCCAAAGGAACCACGGAGGACCUUGGCGGUCACCGGGCAAGCCUUGCCGCGGGGUGCUGCGACUGCCCGUGCACAAGUUCGGGAUACUAGGGUACCCCUACUCUAGUACAACGACACUAGGCGAGGGUCAAUCUGGAUAGUCAUGACGAGGAAAGCUUUCUUGUGCUUUUCAAGGAAGCAUUGCAGCAGUAUCGGUGUUACCUGAGGAAAUCACACUUUGGUGGCAAAUCUAUAAACGAAUUUCCGGUGAAGUCUCCUGUGCUAAAUUUAGAAGACAUUGAAUGGAAAAACAUUGUUAUGCACUGGUCUCGUUCCCAGGAUGAGGUACUGUCUAUGAAAUCACAUGACAAUUUGAACUUCUACUUUUCCGCAUGUGCCUUACGGAUCUUGUUUGCAGGAAAUUUGCUCGAAAAAGAAUUCCGGUUUGAAAAGAAUGACAGGAUAUCGCAAAUAUGCUGCCCGCUGCUUUGCUCUUAUUAGUACUUGUUGUCCUGUAUCAAUGUACUUGCAUACAUACCUGGUUCAUUAUGUGACAGCAGUAUGCAUGAUAGCUUGCUUAUCAAUUGUUCGCUCCAAAUUCUUCAGUUCCAAAGCCAAUGUUUUUUAGCUCUGCAUUGUUCUUGUAAGUACAUGCUGUCCUUUAUCAGUGUACUUAUAAUGACAGGUAGUUGUUCAUGUACCAUCACUCUGCAGCUUAUUUUCCUUUGCCCUCCAUUUUCUACACAUCAAAUCUAUAUUUACUCCUACCAUAAGGUUGGUACUGAAGAAAUUUAGCUGUGCAUUGCUCUUGGUUGUACCUUUUGCCUGUAUCGCUGCACUUACAUUUAUAGCUACUUGGUUAUGUAGCAUCACUCUUUAUCUUAUCUUAAAUAUUCUCCAUUUUUUCGUAUAUUAUCACAUCUAUAUUUACUCUUAACAAAAUGUAGAAUAAAGGCAAUGCUUAUGAAGAAGAUUCUGUGGUAAACUUCUUGAAUUACCCCCCCCCCAUCAGCAUGGACAAGGCCUUUAUAGAGCCUGUCUUCACCAAUAAUGUAAGUUUGUCCAUCUCAAGCCUUCAAACUUUGUUGUAUAUAUUUGGUUAGGCAUGACUGCAACAGCUGUUUAUUUUUGGUGUUUGCAUCAAAUUGCAUGUUUAAUGUUUAUUAUGUACUCCCUCGAAUCCAAAAUAGAUGACCCAAUUUUGUACUGAAGUUAGUAUAAAGUUGGGUCAUAUAUUUUUAGAACGGAGGGAGUAGUUCAUAAACAAAAGUUUGUCCUUUCUCAAUUUAAGUUUUCAGUUGUACAACCAAGUUCCUUAUUCAUACCAUGUAAAUUAAAGUAUACAGAGCAAGUGAUCUUCUUUUGCACUGCAUGUAUGCUUCUGUUCUUCAUCCGUAAUCCAGUGGUGUGGUGAACCUACCCACUACAGCACAAUGUCAUAUUCUGCAAUGUCUUAACUAUGAACAAUGUCAUAUCAUUCUACUACUCCCUCCGUCCGAAAAUACUUGUCAUUGAAAUGGAUGUAUCUAGAUGUAUUUUAGUUCUAGACACAUCCAUUUUGAUGACAAGUAAUUCCAGACGGAGAGAGUAUUAUUUAAACCGUCUCUUUAUUUGCCAAUCUGAAAUGGGAUAAAUUGACAGCACACUAACCAUUGAUACUUAUGAGUUCUUGAUCUGUAAUCCAGUGGUGUCGUGAAGCUGCCAACUCCUUCACAAUGUCAUUUCCUGCCAUGUCUUGACCUGAACAAUACCAUAUUGUGUUAAUGCAAUUUUAAACUCUGUCACUUUAUUCGUCAGAAGAAAUGUGAUGAAUUGUCAGCACUGAUACUUUUAUGUGCAAAACCUGUCAUCUGUCUGCUUGUUUAUCUUUCAGAGUGAGGAAGAUUUAAGUGUUGAACAAGCGCAGUCUCAUCAUCUUGCUCAGCUGCUUGCGCUGCAGCUCCCCAGCAGGGCUAACUUUUCUUAAACUCUAUUGAAGUGAUGUUGGUUUUGUAUAUUAUUUUUUCAGCGUGUUUAUUUGCACUGGUGGCGAUCUUUGAUGCCCAGGUAUGUAAUCUGCUAUCUGCUUGUGCUAAAUUAUCAUAGUGGCCAACUUUGAUGCCCAGUGGAUGUAAUAUGUUGUAAUUUCUUUUUUGUAUAGUCUAGGUUUUUUCUUAUUCACCAUGCUGCAGUUAUUUUAUUGUCUUUGCAGUAAACCGGCCAAACCGUAAAAUUACGGUACAUAAUCGGGCCGUCAUGCAAUCACGAUGUAGGUUGGGCCUGAAACAUGCCGAACAGCUAAUGGGCCGGCAACAGCCCGAAAUGAACCCUGGCCCAUGAUUGUGCGAAUCAAAUCACGGGCUUUUAACAGGCCAAAAUUGUCUCGGUCCUUCUUUGGCCCAAUCAGAUAUCGGUUGCGAGCAGGCCGGAUGCAAACGGGGCCGUAGUUAGGCCCAACUAUAUGACGGGCAUUUAACAGGCCAAAAUUAAUAUGGGGCCGAAAUGUUAAACGGGUCCUUAAGAGGCCAAAACUAAUGUCAGGCCGAAUUACUAAGUGGGCCUCUAGCAAGUGGGCCCAAAAGCAUAGUGUCCAGUUGACGGGCCGAAUCUGAUAUGGGCCAUAAUUGAUCCCAUAGCUUCUUAAAGGGCCGUACCUGAUCUGGGCCGUAAUUUGGCCCAGAACGUGGUAGGCUUUUAGCGGGCCGGAUCUCAUAUGGGCCACUAUUAGGCCCGGAACGUGGCAGGCCAUUAAUGGACCGGAUCAAAUAUGGGCCGGCAUUUGGCCCAAAACAUGGCAACCAGUUAAUGGGCCGGCCUACUAGGGCCCUCAAAUUCUUGUGGGCCUACAGCUGGGCCAUCCCGUUAAUGUCGGCGAAAUCUCGUGGGCCUCUCAAGGAAGCAAAGGAUGCUGCCGCAACUGCCGAGGCCGCCAAGAAGGACCUGGAGACGAAGGUGGCGCAGCUGGAGGCCGACCUCAAGGCGAGCGGCGAGGAGCUUGCUGCGCUCAAGCGUGAGCGCGAGAAGGACGCCACCGCUCAUGGUGAGCUGCAGGGUCGUCUCGCUGAGAGGAGCAAGGAGCAUAGCGCCGCCAAGGACUCCAACGCAGAUCUUGAGUUGAAGCUGACUACAUUGACAAUUACUCUGGACGGCGCCAAGGAGCGGGAGGUGGCCUUGAAGGAGAAGAUCAAGGCCGACGAGGCGCUGCUGGCGAGUGCUGCUGCCGCCCAGAACACUUUUAGGGAGAAUGUGGAGCACUGGACGGAGGGUCUCGUGAAUGUUGCCGCAACCAUCGACGGGGAGCUGGCGCAGCUGGGGAUGGAGGAUCUCGGGUACUCCUCCGAUGAGCACCUCCAACCCAGCGCCAAGCUCAGCUUGUUCUUCAAAGGCGCGGCGACGGCCCUCCAGCGACUCCGGGAAAGGAUCCCAAAGCAGCUGGCCGACGAGUCGCGCAAGAUCUGCGCGGGAGCUCUUCAAAAGGUGCUGGUGAAGGUGGCCUUCCGCAACCCAGGCCUCAACCUCACCAACGUCCUCAGGUCCUUGCCGCCGGAUGCUGAUCUAGAAGCGUUCAAGACCCUUGUCGCACCCAUUGUGGACAAGGUGAGCGGAAUCAAGAGGGUUGAGGGCGAUCGCGUAGAUUAGGCCGCCCGUUUUCCCUUUUUCUUGUCGCUACUGGUCAUGUUAUGAGAACAAUCUGUUAGAGCUGUGACAAGCUAUCUUGUAAUAUAACUCCAUUUUGGGUAGCGAUUACUAUGUUAUUUCCUUUACUUGAUUCCUUCCUUUGUAUGUUUUUGCCCUACGCUUUUAGGGAACUUGUCGGCGCAGGCACCUUAGCCGCGAGCGCUGAGUGCGGAACGUCAGCAACCUGCUGGUGGUGCCGCUACCGACAAGAAACCUUGUCGCAACUAGUCACAGCUCACUUAAGUUGUUGAGCGGACUCGAAACAAAGUAAGGGCGCAACUAGCUACGAGUUGGUUCCUUCGCGCACAAGUUUUCCAUACAAAGCACGGUCGUUUGAGGAAGAUAACUCAAAAAUUUUAAAACUGAUUGCUCAAACUUUGGCAACUUAGCUUUUCUGUCGUUUGCUUCCCGGUAAGGCGAAACUUUCUUGAACGACGCCUGGUCCACAUUAUCUUCUCCUUUCGGCAAGUGCUCUUGCGCCAAUGUGGUGACCACAUAUGCCUCCAUGUAUCUCUGCCAACAGCUGUUGUCCGUCUUCCCGGCGAAUACACUUCAAUUUCACACCGUUGAGUCUUCUUCUGUACAGUGUGUCGUUGACAAACUGGUACAUACUUGACUGCCGGGCUACUCUUUCCGCUUCUUCUUGCUCUUCGGGAAGUUCUCAUGUCUGAAGGAAAUGAACAAUCUGAUGUGCCCAUGCUGGAGCUUGUGGCUCGACAACAAGGACUAAAGGCACAUCUGCUGCUGCGGGAACAUCCGCUUCUACAGCGAGAACCUGCGGCUCAGCUGGAGCUUGAUGUUCCCCAGCAAGCUUGCCGGAGCAAAACUUGUCGGGAGUGUCUGCUUCAACAGAACAAACCCUAAGGCUUGCCGGAGCAAACUGCUCCUCAGCACCCUUGGUGUUGAUCUUGGGGACCUUCUUGGCGGCGGCCUCGGGGAGUUCUUCCGGAAAAUAGUCGCCAGAAAUCAACUUCCUCUUUUUGCACUGUCCAGUUGAUGGCGUUACAGACGGCUGAGUCAGCUUGAGCACAAAGAUCCCUCGUUCCACAGGUAACUUAAGUGCGGCGCACUUUGACAGGCCAUCGGCAAUGUUGUUCUGAGCUCUUGGAACAUGUUCCAUCUGUAGGCCGUCAAAGUGCUCUUCUAGCUUUCUCACUUCAUCAACGUAAGCUUCCAUCAACGGACUCUGAUAAUUCUUGUUCACCUGGCGGAUGACAAGCUGUGAGUCACCCCUGACAAUGAGCUUCUUGAUCCCAAGGUCUGUUGCGAUCCUGAGACCGGCAAGCAAACCUUCAUAUUCUGCGGUAUUGUUUGUUGCUUUCUCCUUGGGAAAGUCCAUCUGGACUACGUACUUGAGGUGUUCUCCAGUGGGUGCAACAAGUAGCACGCCUGCACCGGCGCCUUGCAGCGAGAAGGCACCAUCAAAGUACAUCAGCCACUCUUUGCUUGCUUCCUUGACGGGGAUGCUUGUUUCUGGAAUUUCUUCAUCUUGUGUUGGCGUCCACUCUGCUAUGAACUCUGCCAAUGCUCUGCUUCUGAUAGUUGAAGUGCUCUCAAACUUGAGGCCAAAGCUUGACAGUUCCAGUGCCCACUCGACAAUCCUGCCUGUUGCUUCGGGAUUUUGUAGUAUCCUCUUCAGCGGAAAACGAGUGACGACUGUGAUCUCAUGUGCUUGGAAGUAAUGGCGCAGCUUUCUCAAGGCCAUGAGAAGGCCGAAAAGCAAUUUCUGCACACCAGAGUACCUUGACCUAGCCCCCUGCAGAAGGGAACUGACAAAGUAAACUGGGCGCUGCACCAUUCUCUUCUGCAUCUCAUUACGCGCCUACGCAGAUCCAUCUUUGUCGGGACCAGAGCUUGUCGGUGAAGUUUCCUGCUUGUCGCUGGAUGCAUCUGCCGUGGUUGCUGGCUCAUCAUCCGCCUCCCUCUCCGCCACUAACGCAGCACUAACCACUUGAUUGGUUGCCGCUAUAUAUAGCAGCAACUUCUCUUGUGGCUUAGGUGAGACAAGUGUUGGAGCGGAGGACAGGUAUCUCUUCAAGUCCUGCAGUGCAGCCUCCGCCUCCGGAGUCCAUUUCAUUGGACCUGCCUUUUUCAAUAUUUUGAAAAAUGGCAAGGCGCGCUCGGUAGAUCUAGAGAUAAACCUGUUGAGAGCAGCCACGCAACCGGCAAGUCUUCGUACAUCCUUGACGCGCUUUGGUGCUUCAAUCUGCUCAAUGGCCUUGAUCUUGUCGGGAUUGGCUUCAAUUCCCCGCUGAGACACAAAGAACCCGAGAAGCUUGCCGGAGGGGACUCCAAACACACACUUCUCGGGGUUAAGCUUGAGAUUGAUCUUGCGCAGAUUUGCAAAGGUUUCAUCUAAAUCUUGAAUCAGAGUUGCCUUGUCCUUGCUCUUGACCACUAUGUUAUCCAUGUAGGCUUCCACAUUUCUGUGUAUUUGUGGCUCAAAAGCGUCAUGGACUACCCUUGCAAAUGUUGAACCAGCAUUCUUUAAACCGAAAGGCAUCCGUAUGAAACAGUAUGUGCCACAUGGAGUGAUGAAAGCGGUCUUCUCCUCAUCCUCUUCUGCCAUGAAGAUCUGAUGGUAUCCUGAGUAUGCAUCAAGAAAUGAAAGCAAGUCACAUCCGGCCGUGGAGUCAACAAUCUGGUCGAUGCGCGGCAAGGGAAAUGGGUCUUUGGGACAAGCUUUAUUGACAUCGGUAAAGUCGAUACAAAGCCUCCAUUUCCCAUUUGCCUUGCGUACGACUACAGGAUUGGCCAACCAUGUAGGAUGGAGUACUCCUCUGACAAGGCCUGCUGCUUCCAAUUUCUUGAUUUCUUCUGCGAUGAAUUCUUGGCGCUCCACUGCCUGUUUCCUGACUUUCUGCUUGAUGGGCCAUGCAUGAGGAUAGACGGCAUGACGGUGCUCGAUUACUUUCCUGGGAACACCGGGGAUGUCAGACGGUUGCCACGCAAACACGUCGACGUUCGCCCGCAGGAAAGCAACGAGCGCGCUUUCCUAUUUAGGGUCGAGAGUGGCACUGAUGGUGAAGGUACCACCAGUGCCAUCCUCCUUGGCGGACACCUUCUUGGUCUCUAGUGGAGCUGCCAUUGUCUUCUUACACUUGCCGGUGGAGCUCGAUGGUGCGUCCUCGACGGUAGCGCAGCACUCCGAAGAGGUGCGCUUGCCGGAGUGGGCAUCAGAAUUCUUGCCGGACUUGGUCUUCUUCUUCCCCCCGGGAGCUUCAGCGGCAAGUGACUUGCGAUCUGUUGCGGCUGCUGCUUCCCGUUAGAUCUUGUCGGCUCAGAUAAGGGCAUCCUUCUUGUCGCCAGGGACAGAGAUGACACUUAUCGGGCCCAGCAUCUUCAGCAUGUUGUAUGCAUAGUGAGAGGCUGCCAUGAAUUUGGCGAGUGCUGGACGACCGAGUAUCCCAUUGUAAGGCAAUGAAAGUCAGCAACGUCAAAAGUGACCCUCUCAGUCCUGAAGUUCAACUCGCUGCCGAAUGUCACCGGCAACAUGAUCUUUCCCUUCGGCUUGCUCCUUCCCGGAUUGAUUCCUUGGAAUGUGUCGGUCUCUUCGAGCUCGCUAUCAGGGAUCUGGAGUUUGUGGAGUACCGCGGAGGAGAUCAGGUUCAGGACGGCCCCGCGGUCAACUAGCAUCUUAGUGACCUUGAGGUUGCGGAUAGUUGGUGAAACCAACAUCGGCAAGCACCCGACCGCAGUUAUGCGAUCAGGGUGGUCCUCAAUAUCAAAGAUGAUAGGCGUGCUGGACCAUUUCAGAGGCUUGCGUGACUCGAUGGGUGGUUCUGCCGCAUUGACUUCCCGCACCCACUGCUUGAGCUGGCGGUGUGAAGUACGCAGAGAAGCACCGCCGUCAACGCACAGGACCUUUGUGGCUUUCUGGAACUCCUGCUCAUCGGUCUCAUCAUCAUCCAUAUCUUCAUCGUCAUCGUCAUCUUCAUCCUUGUCGCGGCCGCGGGGAGGUCUGUCUCCUUGCCGCUGCUUGGCCUUGCCGCGGCGUCCCCCUCGGCCGGGGCGUUUCUAGCCGGCUCCUCCAACACCUUCCUGGGCCUUCUCCUUGUCGCGUCGCUCGUAUUCAGCCUUUUGCUGCUCGACAAGCUGCUCGACUUUCUUGCAGCUCUGGAGGUCAUGGCCCUUGGUGCGGUGGAUCUUGCAGUACUGCUUGUUGGUGCCGUCCUGCUUGUCGGUGACCGCCACGGCCUGGUAGUUGGUGCCCGCGGCAAUCUCCUUGUCGGAGCUACCAGCUUUGGCUUUCUUGGCGCCACCUCCGUUGCCGGACUGCUCAACGACUAGCACUUCUUUGCCUUUCUUCUUCCUGUUGUUCCGCCACCGGUUUUUCUUUGUCGGGGCAGCAUCCUCACUAUCAGAUCCUCCUACUUCUGUAUUCUCUCCAGGGAGUUUCCUCCCUUCCUCAGCAUGUGCACACUUGUCGGCCAGGGCAUAUAGCUCACUGACAUCCCUGAUCUUGCACAUCGCCAUCUCCUCCCGCAUCCUGCGGUUCCGCAUGUUCUGAUGGAACGCGCUGAUUACCGCGGCAGGGUGGACAUCUGGGAGGUUGUGCUGUACACGGCUGAAUCUCCGAAUGUACUUGCGUAGGGGCUCUCCUUCCUUCUGGGCGAGCAGAUGAAGGUCGCUCUCUUGGCCAUGAGGCUUGUGGCCGCCUGUAAAGGCGCCGACAAACUGAUGGCAUAGGUCUGCCCAGGAGGAUAUGGAGUUGUCCGGCAAGUGCAUGAGCCAGGAUCUGACAUUGGGCUUGAGCACCAGCGGGAAGUAGUUGGCAAGGAUCUUGUCGUCCCGCCCCCCGGCAGCUUGCACCGCGAUGGUGUAGAUGCCGAGGAACUCCGACGGAUGCGACUUGCCGUCGUACUUCUCUGGUACGUCUGGCUUGAAAUUCUUCGUGCUAGGCCACUGGACUUGCCGCAGCUCAUGAGUGAAUGCAGGGCAACCUACCGCGUACGGCAAGUCACCUGGUUCCCUGGUGCAUGCAUGUCGAUAAAGGGCCCAGCGCGCUGGUCCGAUUGAUGCCGCGCUUCUCUUUGGCGCUCGAUGCGAGUACGAGCGUCUUCUUGCUGUCGUUCGUGAAGAACUUGGCGCUGAUCGCGACAAGCUCGUGGAUCUGAUGAUGCGGUGGAGUCGCUGUCGAGGUGGAUCCGGCGAGUCGGCGAUCUUGGCCUUCGGGGUGGAGAGUGCAUGGUGGUUGCACCCCCACCGGUUUUGCCGCCAUCGGCUCGCGCCUGGCAGUCCUGCCGCGGCAUCGAUGUACUCGGCUGCCGCGGAGUGUCGCCGUUGGCAAAGCCGAUGAGACUCUGAAUGGUGGCCCUCCAUUCGUCGAUCUUGUCUUCCAUUGGAGGGUAAUCCAGGAGCAGUUGAGCUCGCGCCAAAGCUUCUGCUGGAGUGGUGGGCGGCAGUGGCGAACGGUGCGAGGAGCGGGAUAUGAUCGGACUUCUAACUAUGUUAGAAGGAGCAGUAUCCCGUCCAGGCGACCGUGCCUCGCUCGUGCCAGCAUGUUGGCGUGCAUGCUGGUCUUGAGCACCCCGAGAUCCACUAGCUCGAUCUUGGUCCAACGAACGCAUGGUACUGCGAAUACCAUGACGAUGUCGGUCCUACGCCUCUUGAGAUGGGCGCGGUGCAUGUACGGACGCCGAGGUCUGCGCAGCCUUGCCCUUGGGCCUGGCAGCGCCUACCCCACCAUCCAUUUGCUCCGGUGGUGGCGGGAUCGACGCGGACGGAACAAUUGCCUCUGAAGCCUUCUUCUUCGGUGGCAUGUCAAUGAAGAAGAUGAAGAUCUAGCUCGUGUGAAUGCCGGAUCAGGUUCACACAAUCUCGACGCCCCCUACCUGGCGCGCCAAAGAUGUCGGGGAAACUGAUCCACGAACACCUAUGGGACCGGCGGACCGAGCCCCUUUCGGUUCGGCGGGGGGCGGAGAUCGCACGAAGAGCGGAUCGAGGUGAAGCACACGAGCAGUUUACCCAGCUUCGGAGCUCUCCGGAGAGAUAAUACUCCUACUGCUGCAUGUCUGAGUAUAUUGAGUUCUUGCUCGGGAGCGCUGAAUGCUACAGUACACUCUAGCUGCUAACAAGACCGAGCAUGAGUGUGUUUCUGGCUUCGAACCUUACGAACCCCCCUCUACGUUGCGCAUGGGCCUCCUUUUAUAUGCUCAAGGGGUCACCGACAGGUGGCAACGUAGGAAAGGGUAAAAAUGGAAAAGUGUUGCGGUUGGUACAACUACCUGUACAGUGUAUCCUACCUAACCCUGACGGCAGGGGACAAAGGCAUUAAAUGCCCGUCUGCGUCGCCCAAAUAGUGCAGAAAGGGACCGUCAGGGGCGCCACCGCUUGCCACGAUGGCAAUCUUGUCAGCGCCGCUUGCCACUGCGCACCGCUGGCUGCACAGCCUCUUGCCACGCGCGCCUGGAAAGGCCCCAGGGUGACACGUUGGUGAAUAUGCUGGAGCGUGGGCACAGAGUGGUAGCUUGCCGCGGCAAGCGCCUUGCCGCGGUCGUUGUCUUGUCGCGUCCGGAAGCUUGUCGCUCACCGGGCCUUGCCGGGACGCGUGGCGCGUCGCGGCAAGUUCCUUGAGAUGCCUUGGUUGGCCUUCUCGGCAAGCUCCUCUUGCCGGGGCCUUGUCUCCUUGGCUUGAAUACUUUGUUCUUGAAUGGCUCCAAAGGAACCACGGAGGACCUUGGCGGUCACCCGGCAAGCCUUGCCGCGGGGUGCUGCGACUGCCCGUGCACAAGUUCGGGAUACUAGGGUACCCCUACUCUAGUACACCGACACUAGGCGAGGGUCAAUCUGGAUAGUCAUGACGAGGAAAGCUUGCUUGUGCUUUUCAAGGAAGCAUUGCAGCAGUAUCGGUGUUACCUGAGGAAAUCACACUUUGGUGGCAAAUCUAUAAACGAAUUUCCGGUGAAGUCUCCUGUGCUAAAUUUAGAAGACAUUGAAUGGAAAAACAUUGUUAUGCACUGGUCUCGUUCCCAGGAUGAGGUACUGUCUAUGAAAUCACAUGACAAUUUGAACUUCUACUUUUCCGCAUGUGCCUUACGGAUCUUGUUUGCAGGAAAUCUGCUUGAAAAAGAAUUCCGGUUUGAAAAGAAUGACAGGAUAUCGCAAAUAUGCUGCCCGCUGCUUUGCUCUUAUUAGUACUUGUUGUCCUGUAUCAAUGUACUUGCAUACAUACCUGGUUCAUUAUGUGACAGCAGUAUGCAUGAUAGCUUGCUUAUCAAUUGUUCGCUCCAAAUUCUUCAGUAUCCAAAGCCAAUGUUUUUUAGCUCUGCAUUGUUCUUGUAAGUACAUGCUGUCCUUUAUCAGUGUACUUAUAAUGACAGGUAGUUGUUCAUGUACCAUCACUCUGCAGCUUAUUUUCCUUUGCCCUCCAUUUUCUACACAUCAGAUCUAUAUUUACUCUUACCAUAAGGUUGGUACUGAAGAAAUUUAGCUGUGCAUUGCUCUUGGUUGUACCUUUUGCCUGUAUCGCUUCACUUACAUUUAUAGCUACUUGGUUAUGUAGCAUCACUCUUUAUCUUAUCUUAAAUAUUCUCCAUUUUUUCGUAUAUUAUCACAUCUAUAUUUACUCUUAACAAAAUGUAGAAUAAAGGCAAUGCUUAUGAAGAAGAUUCUGUGGUAAACUUCUUGAAUUACCCCCCCCCAUCAGCAUGGACAAGGCCUUUAUAGAGCCUGUCUUCACCAAUAAUGUAAGUUUGUCCAUCUCAAGCCUUCAAACUUUGUUGUAUAUAUUUGGUUAGGCAUGACUGCAACAGCUGUUUAUUUUUGGUGUUUGCAUCAAAUUGCAUGUUUAAUGUUUAUUAUGUACUCCCUCCAAUCCAAAAUAGAUGACCCAAUUUUGUACUGAAGUUAGUAUAAAGUUGGGUCAUCUAUUUUUAGAACGGAGGGAGUAGUUCAUAAACAAAAGUUUGUCCUUUCUCAAUUUAAGUUUUCAGUUGUACAACCAAGUUCCUUAUUCAUACCAUGUAAAUUAAAGUAUACAGAGCAAGUGAUCUUCUUUUGCACUGCAUGUAUGCUUCUGUUCUUCAUCCGUAAUCCAGUGUUGUGGUGAACCUACCCACUACAGCACAAUGUCAUAUUCUGCAAUGUCUUAACUAUGAACAAUGUCAUAUCAUUCUACUACUCCCUCCGUCCGAAAAUACUUGUCAUUGAAAUGGAUGUAUCUAGAUGUAUUUUAGUUCUAGACACAUCCAUUUUGAUGACAAGUAAUUCCAGACGGAGAGAGUAUUAUUUAAACCGUCUCUUUAUUUGCCAAUCUGAAAUGGGAUAAAUUGACAGCACACUAACCAUUGAUACUUAUGAGUUCUUGAUCUGUAAUCCAGUGGUGUCGUGAAGCUGCCAACUCCUUCACAAUGUCAUUUCCUGCCAUGUCUUGACCUGAACAAUACCAUAUUGUGUUACUGCAAUUUUAAACUCUGUCACUUUAUUCGUCAGAAGAAAUGUGAUGAAUUGUCAGCAUUGAUACUUUUAUGUGCAAAACCUGUCAUCUGUUUGCUUGUUUAUCUUUCAGAGUGAGGAAGAUUUAAGUGUUGAACAAGCGCAGUCUCAUCAUCUUGCUCAGCUGCUUGCGCUGCAGCUCCCCAGCAGGGCUAACCUUUCUUGAACUCUAUUGAAGUGCUAUCGGUUUUGUAUAUUAUUUUUUCAGCGUGUUUAUUUGCACUGGUGGCGAUCUUUGAUGCCCAGGUAUGUAAUCUGCUAUCUGCUUGUGCUUAAUUAUCAUAGUGGCCAACUUUGAUGCCCAGUGGAUGUAAUAUGCUGUAAUUUCUUUUUUGUAUAGUCUAGGUUUUUUCUUAUUCACCAUGCUGCAGUUAUUUUAUUGUCUUUGCAGUAAACCGGCCAAACCGUAAAAUUACGGUACAUAAUCGGGCCGUCAUGCAAUCACGAUGUAGGUUGGGCCUGAAACAUGCCGAACAGCUAAUGGGCCGGCAACAGCCCGAAAUGAACCCUGGCCCAUGAUUGUGCGAAUCAAAUCACGGGCUUUUAACAGGCCAAAAUUGUCUCGGUCCUUCUUUGGCCCAAUCAGAUAUCGGUUGCGAGCAGGCCGGAUGCAAACGGGGCCGUAGUUAGGCCCAACUAUAUGACGGGCAUUUAACAGGCCAAAAUUAAUAUGGGGCCGAAAUGUUAAACGGGUCCUUAAGAGGCCAAAACUAAUGUCAGGCCGAAUUACUAAGUGGGCCUCUAGCAAGUGGGCCCAAAAGCAUAGUGUCCAGUUGACGGGCCAAAUCUGAUAUGGGCCAUAAUUGAGCCCAUAGCUUCUUAAAGGGCCGUACCUGAUCUGGGCCGUAAUUUGGCCCAGAACGUGGUAGGCUUUUAGCGGGCCGGAUCUCAUAUGGGCCACUAUUAGGCCCGGAACAUGGCAGGCCAUUAAUGGACCGGAUCAAAUAUGGGCCGGCAUUUGGCCCAAAACAUGGCAGCCAGUUAAUGGGCCGGCCUACUAGGGCCCUCAAAUUCUUGUGGGCCUACAGCUGGGCCAUCCCAUUAAUGUCGGCGAAAUCUCGUGGGCCUUUAGCCGGGCCGGCCCAUUAUGAUCCGCAAGAAUCUUGUGGGCCUUUACCUGGGCCGGCCCAUUAUGGCAUACAAAAAUCUUGUGGGCCUUUACCUGGGCCGGCCCAUUAUGGCCCGUGAAAUCUUGUGGGCCAUUAGCUGGGCCAGCCCAUUAUGGCCCGCAAAAUCUCAUGGGCCUUUAGCUGGGCCGGCCCAUUAUGGUCCGCAAAAUCUUGUCGGCCUUUAGUUGGGCCAGCCCAUUUAAACUUGAUGGGCCGGUCCACGUGUCAACAUAUCAUCGGCGCGUCUCGCCCAUUGGAUGAGUGACACCUGUGCCAGCGCGGACCUGACACGUGUCUCCUCCAACCAAUGAUGAUUUUACACGUGGAAAAUCCCCAUUGGUCAGGGCUGUUAACGGGUUAUCGGAUCCAAAACCCGACCCGAUAGCUUAACGGCGUUCCGUUACGGUGGAUGCCACAUGUCGGUCACCCUUGACGAAAGCACUUAUGUGACACGCGAUUUAUCGUCAUGGAAGUGGACACUUCCAUGAUGAUAGUUUUGGUAAUGUCAUGGAGCACUUCUAUGACAGCACAGGUAUGACUAUCUUGAUUCUGUCAUAAAUUUGUCAUGGAUGUACAUGCAUGACAAAAAACGCGACCUACUGUGACAAACACGUAUCAUCACGGAAGUGUAUUUUUUUUGUAGUGUCGAAUUUUCCUGGUUACAGUGGUCAUCCACAUCAUUGCAUAAUUUGGCUAGACAAAGGAGACUACAGCACACCCACACUUCUUAAUCGGGCAAGUUCAACAAUUAAAUAGAGCUAGCUGGCCUAAACAUUACUCUAACAAAUUAAAGACCGGCACUCUUAAUUAAACAAAACAAAGAGUACUACUACAGCUGGUGCUCGUCGAUCUUCCCCGCCUCCUCCAUGUCCAACUCGCGUCCGACGGUCUCCUGGGGAAGGGGCUCCAUGGCAUCCAUUGCACCAUAUUCAGCAAGCAUAUCGCCAUCCGCGUCCACCAUCUCUUUGGAAAAGGCCACUAUGAGAUGGGCGUGGGCGGCCGUGAUCUGGGCUUGGACGGGCUCGGUCAUCGCAAGGUAUGCGGUGGAGGAACAGACGACUGCUCGAACGCUCUCGGCGAUUGCCAACUCUUCGGCCAUGGGUUGUCGACCAUUGUCUGAGAAGGUUUGUUCGGUUUGUGUGGUGACUGCCACGAGCUGGGCGUGGGCGGCCACGACAUGGUCAUGGGCGGCCUCCAUCAGGGCUAAGUUCGCUGCAGUGGAACGGAUAGCUGUUGUGCCGCUCUCGCCAGUUGCUAUCCCCGAGGCAGAUGUUGCUGCCACCACCUGAGAAGCAACAGCGGCCCUUUGGGCUGCUUUGGCUGCCCGGUCAUAGAUUGUGGUCGUGCUGAUAGACCUUGUUAGCACGCGCAUGGCGGCUGCGGCCGUGCUCUCACCAGAGUGGGCCGCCGAAGUUUCCCUCACGAUGUGGGUCCAUGUCCCCAUCUUUCACCGGUGACGAUUGAACAACGAAAUGAUAUUUGGGGAGCAAGCUAGUGUGCUUGACAUGCCGAAUGUGUUCUGUAGCCGACGCACCUUCUCGCGUAAGCGAUAGACGUACUAUACACCGACGGUGCUCCACGAUAUUUUGUACUGCAUCUCACACGGUUGGUGAUAAUAAACUGUGUGUGAUCUACUUGAUUUUUCGUCUUGAUUUGAAUUACAUAAUGGGGUCACAGCUACAAAGGUUGGUGUUUGAAUGCUAGAACUUCUACCUGCAGUGAACAUGCAACUAUAGGUGUGUCAUCAAAAAAAUUGGAAUUAUUCAGGGUUCGUUUGGACAUUUUUAUACAGUAACUUGGUUUUCUAAGCAUUUCAGGUGCACAAUUCAAAAUUAAACCACAUGCACAUACUCCGGUGCACCAAAAUGGGCUGUAAAAUGAUAUAUGUGUCCGUUGGUUGAUGCUUACGUCCCAUUCAAGAAAUGGGGAUGAAUUUACAACACCACGGCAUCGUGGCUCUCCGGCAAACAUUGAGGUGCUUGUUUUUGUAAUUCUAGUAAAUACAAAACUCGUCUGAAAUUCAUGAACCUUGGCAUGCUAUCAUGGAACAGCAUCAAGAUGCUGGGGUAAAAAAUAUUGUCCCAUUUGGGGAAGGUUAUGGUAUAAGCUUCUCGCAAACCAGAGCUUCUCUCACAACAAGCAUGAUGGUUUCGGUAGGGAACGUGCCACCUUGGGGGACGAAACGAUAUCUGUUGCCUCUUCUAUUUCAAAAAAUUUCUCGUGUCAACAUAGAAAAACAGGAGUGUUGUGCAAUUUUUUGGGAUUUUUUGGAGUUCACAUGGACAUUUUUAUACAUUAACUUAGUUUUCUAUGCAUUCAUCUGCAUUAGUCAAAUUUUAACUACAUGCACAUCCUCCGGUGCAUAGAAACAGGUCGAAAAAUCAAAUGUGUGUCCUUGUUUGCAACCUUAGGUCCCACUCAAGAAAUGGGAAUGAAUGUCAAAAACCUUUGCCACCGUUGGUCGGCCGCUAACAUUGAGAUACAUGGUUUUAAAAUUCUAGUAAAUCAAAAACUCGUCUAAAAUUCAUGAAACUUGACAUGCUAUCAUGGAGCAGCAGCAACAUGCAGUGGUAAAAAUAUUGUCCCAUUUGGCGCGGGUUGGGGUAUAGGCUUCUCACAAACUAGAGCUUCUCGCAACAAGCCUCAUGGUUACGGUAGGGAAUGUUUCACCUUUCUGGACGAAACGAUAUCCGUUGCCUCUUCUUGAUUUAAAUUUUUUCUCUAGUGUCAACAUAGAACAACAUGAGUGUUGUGUUAAAUUUUGGAAUUUUUCGGGGUUCGUUUGGACAUUUUUAUGCAUUAGUUGAGUUUUCAAUGCAUUUAUGUGCAUAAUUCAAAUUUUAACUAUAUGCACAUGCUCUAAUGCAUAUAAAUUGGUUGAAAAUUCAAGUAUGUCUACUUGGUUGCAUGCUUAGGUCCCAUGCAAGAAAUGGGAAUGAAUGUCAAACAACCUACCACCGUCACUCGGCCAUAAACAUUGAGAUACCUGAUUUUUAAAUUCUAGUAAAUCCAAAACUCGACUGAAAUUCAUGAAACAUGGCAUGCAAUCAUGGAGAGGCAUCAACAUGCCGUCGUAAAUUUUCUUUCCCAUUUGUGGUAGGUUUGAGUAUAAGCUUCUCACAAACCAGAGCUUCUCACAAUAAGUCUGAUGGUUUCGGUAGGGAAUGUUUCACCUUUCUGGACGAAAUGGUAGCCGUUGCCUCCUCUUGAUUUCAAUUUUUUCUCUAGUGUCAACAUAGAACAACCUGAGUGUUGUGUUAAAUUUUGGAAUUUAUUGGAGUUCAUUUGGACAUUUUUAUGCAUUAAUUGAGUUUUCAAUGCAUUUAUGUGCAUAAUUCAAAUUUGAACUACAUGCGCAUGCUCUAAUGCAUAUAAAUUGUUUGAAAAUUCAAAUAUGUGUCCUUGGUGCAUGCUUAGGUUCCAUGCAAGAAAUGGGAAUGAAUGUCAAACACCCUGCCACCGUCACUCGGUCGCAAACAUUGAGAUACCUGGUUUUUAAAUUAUAGUAAAUCCAAAACUCUUCUGAAAUUUAUGAAACCUGGCAUGCUAUCAUGGAAUGGCACCCGACAUGUCGUGGUAAAUUUUUUGUCCCAUUUGGGGCAGGUUUGGGUAUAAGCUUGUCACGAAUCAGAGCUUCUCACAACAAGACUGAUGGUUUCUGUAGGGAACGUGCCACCUUUGGGGACGAAACGAUACUCGUCGCCUGUUAUUGCUUUGAAAAAAUUUCUCGUGUCAACAUAGAACAACAGGAGUGUUGUGUUAAAUUUUGGAAUUUUUUGGGAUUCGUUCAGACAUUUUUUAUACAUUAAUUGGGUUUUCUAGGCAUUUUCUGUGCAUAAUUCAAAUUUUAACUACAUGCACAUGGUCUAGUGCAUAUAAAUUGGUUGAAAAAUCAAAUUUGUGUCCUUGGGUGCAUGCUUAGGUCCCAUACAAGAAAUGGGAAUGAAUUCCAAACACCAGGGCACUAUUGAUUGCCGACUUAAUGUUGAGAUACUCUAUUUUAAAUUCUAGUAAAUCCAAACUCGUCUGAAAUUCAUGAAACUUGGCAUGCUAUCAUGGAAUGGCACCCGACAUGCUGUGGUAAUUUUCAUGUCCAUUUUGAGAGAAGGCGCACUCGAAUAACAGUCAACAAAGGCAUUUUGAAACAACUAGCUUCCGCUCUAACAUCACAAACAUUUUAGAUAGAACACCCGUAGGUACACUGACAGCUUCCCUAGUAAGCCAAGGGAAAAUGUGCCGAGCAGGAUUUGUGCAGCUCUUCAUCGCAAACAUUUUAGAUAGAACACAUGUAUGCAAAGCGAGACUUUGGCGCUAACCCAAGAGACUUCAUCGCAAAUGUUUUAGAUAGAACACAUGGUCAUCUGCAGUAAGCCAAGGGAAAAUUUGCUGCAUAGGAUUUGUGCAUCUCCUCAAUGCAAACGGUUCAGAUUGAAUAAGGUAUGCAAAGCGAGACUUCGGCGCUAACCCAAGAGAAAAUUUGGCAAGCAGGAUUUCUACCUCCCUUCAACGCAAACUGUUUUUUGGAUGACCCGUGUGCAACAACGUACAAACAAUUUGGUAAGAUUUUCAUCUGUCAUAUUGGGUAUAUUGCCAUUUGUCAAACUGGAAAUAUUGACAUUUCUUGAUCUAGUAACAUUGCCAUUUGUCAAUCCUUGUAACACUGCGAUUUGUCAAAAUAUGCAUCUAAAAAUCACUAGCACUAUCUAAUUUUUGCAACUAAAAUUCAGUAAUUAAGUAUAGAUUUCAUUCAUAGAUUAAGCAGUCGUGCUUUAUUUAUACAAACAGUUCAACUCCACAGCUAAACCGACCAAACUUUUCCCCAAUUGUUGCCAACCAUGUACUGAAAUAGCUAGUUCAACUAUAUAUACUAGGUAAUUAUAAGUACGUUGUAAAGUUCCACCACAUCUAUAGUCAGAUGAACUGAACAAAAUAGCCCCUAAAUACUACUACUACGGAGGGGCUUUGUACUACCUCCGACAACCUCUGCUCUGCCGAGCACGCUCAGUAGGAGGAAGAGGAGUAGGAGCCUACCGACGAGCUGGACAACUGCAAUACGGUGCCUGCCGCUACUGCACCUUCAGCGACGCUCACCUAGAAUGCCCUAUGCCGCUCCAUAAGUAGAUCUCAUGAUUCCUCGCCUCUGCGUCGGCAUGUGUCGCGGCCAUGGCGGCGGUAAGGCUCUUAGCGUGCUAGACGAGGCGCUCCUCCUCCUCCCCCAGGAACUCGAUGUAGCGCGCAAGGUCGCUGCCGCACGUGCGGGCCUCCACAUCCGUCCCCCUCCUUUGGGAGGCGAUGGCGGAGCGGGUGAUGAUCCCGGCGGUCGCCGGUGGGCUGGCGGCCACGGCGGCUGAUGAUGGGGUUGCGGCCACGACCACCACCUCCCGCCGUCGGGCCGCGGUGACAGAGCGGGUGAUGGCCACAGUGGCCGAAAAUGGGGUGGCGGCCACGAUGGCCACCUCUCGCCUUCAGGCCAUGGCGGCAGAGCAGGCGAUGGCCCUGGCUUUCAACGGAGCUGUGGCGGCAACGGCGGUCGGCAACAGCUACCCAACAAGGACGCCACGCGCGCUACACUAUGUCAGGGACUACGCCGCCGCCGUGGUGUAGCCUCCCAGCUGGAGCUAUGCUCUGAUGACGGUGGAGUGGUUGAGCGACGACGACGGUCCGGUGCCAUUGCCGAUUGUGGGAGAAGCAGAUGAGGUAAGCUACAGGGAGGGAGGGGGGAAAUGCGAUGCAGGACUCACUGGCCGUGAGGGUUUAUAUAGUAGGCUUGUAAGCAUUGCAAUUUGGGGGGAUUUCACUGAGUCAGGCGGGAAGCUUGCACGGGAACCUGCACGGUUGUGCGGGAACGGGCUCACCACCGUUUGGCGAAAAGAACGCCCCCGCGCGCUGCUCAAGAUUGCGCUCGAACCGUCUGCGGCAGCGGGGUGACAAGACGUGCGAGAGGAGGACGAAAGGACACGUACACAUACGUUUAAUAAAAAACAUUUGCGAUUUAAUUACCUACUAUACCCCCGUCCUAGUUUAUAAGUAGGAUUUAAUUAAUAAAAUAUGAAUGCAUGUCGCCAAAGAUUAUAUCGUUGGCUUCGUAUUUGAACAUAGUUUCCAGUUAUAUAAUUUUUCUAACAUGCAUUAACAUUUUGUUGGUUAAAUUUGAGGUUAUAUACGAGCAAGCGUUUCCCACAACACACAUGGCUUAUUCCAUCACAAACAGCUAGGAUGGAUCAAUUGUAUGCCACGUAUCGCACACGCAUCUCUAAUCUGAUUCGUGCUUGAUGUCUUCGACAUCUCUCGCAUAAUUUGUCUUAUUUGCCAUGUAUCAUUGUGCCGGCCUCUGCUCGCGUCCCUCGUCAAGCUCUGCUCGCCGUUAGGCACCGCGGCAUGCUCUGCUCGCAUCCGUCGGUGCGCUCUAGUUGUGGACAACUUUUCCUUGCGUGUUCAACUGCUCGGUUAAGGCAACCGCAGAGCACUCUGCUCACGUCCCUCCGCGCGCGCUCUGCCAGCAGUAGGGCAUGCGCACGAUCACGUCGGGGGCUCCAUAUGCAUGCAGUUGCGCCACGUGCGUUGCCACCUGAUGCAGUUACGUGCGACACAAUGGAGUUACGCGCUGCGAAUUACAACUACCAUCAGGGCGUGCUGAUCGAUAUUCCAGGCCAUAUGGCUUCCCCUUUAAUUCUCGCGGCCAUUAUAACCUUAGUCUCUUCAACCUUUUGAUCACGCCCCAUAGCACAACAAGCACACCCAUGAUGACACAUAGAGAGGGGAUGUCUAGAGGCUCUCCAAUGGAGUUCGGCGAGCAUAAAGUGGAGACCCACCUGAGGGAGACGGAUCUCUCGGUGGUGUACACCAUCGACCCAGCCGUGGUGGACGACUACAUCAACACCGUUGAGCAGUUGCUUAUCGGAGACAAGUACAAGGUGGUCGGCAUCGACCUCCAGUACACCGCUGGUCUUCCCGGCAAAGAUCAGAAGGUUGUCGUCGCCCAGUUGUGCGUGCGCCAUCAUGUCCUCAUCUACCACUACUGCAUGGCUACAGAGCCUUGCGUUUGUUUCGCCAGGUUUUUCAACAACACCGACUACAAGUUAGCUACGGUGGAAACCAUCGAUGAUGUAAAAGCGCUCAGGGUUACGGGCUUGGCCUGCAAGAACCUUGUUGAAAUCCGUGCGCACUACAGGGUCUAGGGCAGCAUGAAGAAGGACUCCCUAGUUGAACUCGCCUCGACCCCUACUAUGAAAAGAUGAAGCAGGAUGCCCAGAGAACAAGUCCUGUGUCCUGGCAUAGGGCCUAGAUGCGGCGACUGGAUGAACCUCACCUCAGGUUCGCGACCAAGAGUGUAAGUGCGUCUAGUGCCACCCCUAGUUUGGUUUUGGAGUAUUGAUGACAAACGUGGUUGAGGGAUUAAUGUGUUUGUGAGAAUUGCAGGAUAACACAGGUAGUAGUCCCUCCUUGAUUCGGUUUACCUACCGGAGAUGACCCCUAAAAAUGUAUGAAGACAUUGAAGAUAAUGGUGGUACGUGAAGAUAUUCACAUUGAAGACUAUGACAGAAGAAGACAUUGAGUGAAGACUAUGGAGCGCGAAGACUUAGUAGUUUCGUUGUUUCUUUUCUUCUUUGUUGAGUCAUAGGAACCACCACACUGUUAAUGGGGUCCAAGUGAACAAAGUCAGAGUGACUGAAGUGAUGGUCAACCAAAAUCCUAUGUCUUCGAGCGAAGACAAUGAGAGCAAAUCUUAUCCAGAGUCGUAUAAGUCAGCUUUACUUGUAGCCCAAUCAAGCUGUCGCAUGUGUUUGAAAUCUGACCGUUGUGACACAUGUCAAUUCCUUAGUGACCCAGGGUCAUUUCGGACAAAUCAGGUCGGGUUGCCCAGUGGCUAUAAAUAGCCCACCCCCUACACCAUAAAUUGGUGGCUGCUCAGAGUUAGUGCACGGCUUUUGUCGUUGAGAGCAACCCUCCUCCGAAGAGUUUGAGAGAGAAAUCCUUGUGAGGACAAAGCCCAAAACACCGAGAGCCCAAAGAGUGUUUGGCAUCACUGAAGUCUUUCUGUCCGCGUGAUCUGAAGACUUGUUACACUUGAGGACUUUGAAUCCUCCAGCCGGUUAGGUGUCGCGUUCUGAGCAUCCAAGAGUAAUUGUGGAUUGCCGGUGAACGAAGUCUGUGAAGGUUUGGAAGUCUACCUUGAAGACUUACCAGAGUGAUUGGACGGGGACUGUGUGUCCUUAGCUCAAGGGGAAUAAGGUGAAGACACGGUCUUCUGAGAUCAAUCUCAGCCUCCCUAACCAGACGUACAGUUGUCACAACAACUGGAACUGGUCGAACAAAUCCUUGUCUUCACAACACACUGGUUCUAUCUCUUACUCUCCUUACUUACAGUUUGUCUUUGUGAAGUCAUUGCCUGAUUGCUCUGCCUGUUUGACUUCACUGUGUGACUACUUGUUCUGAUUGGCUUCAUACUAUCUUCCAUCCUGAUCGUACUACCUAGCUGCUAUCAGUCAUUAUGCUUUAGCUUCAUACUUGUUUGACUAUGGCUUGUCUAGUGUAGUUCAUCUUCUGCUGCAUGUUUAUAGGUCCAGUUUUCGUGUUUGUCUUCAAAACUUUCAUGUUUUGAAGACUUCCAUAAAAAUCGCCUAUUCACCCCCCUCUAGUCAAUAACUAGCACUUUCAAUUGGUAUCAGAGCAAGGUACUUCCUUGUUCUGUGUGAUUCAGUUUAACCACCUGGAGUUUCAGCUAUGUUGACUGCAGGGAUAAUCAAAGUCUCCGCUGCGUGCCCUGUAUUCGAUGGCACUGAAUAUCCCUACUGGAAGAAUAAGAUGCGUAUGCAUCUUGAAGCCAUUGAUGUUGAUCUAUGGUAUGUUGUCAAGAACGGCAUUCCCAAGACUGGUGAAGGUGUCUCCCCUACUGAUGUCAAGAAGUUCAUUCAACUCGAUUCUACUGUGAAGAACAUCAUCUGUGGUCAUCUGACCAAAGGGCAGUAUGGCCGUGUGAGUGCUUUGGAAACGUCGAAGCUAGUGUGGGACUGGCUCUCCAAGGUCAAUGAAGGCGUUUCAACUCAGAGAGAUCAAAGAAUUAGUGUCCUACGCAACCUCUUCAACCGCUUCAAGAGAAAUGACAAUGAAAAUGUCCAGCUCACGUUUGAUCGUCUCACUGACAUCACAAAUGAGCUUCAGGCUCUCGGCGCCACUGAGAUCACCAAGCAUGAAAAUCGUCAAGACGCUUCUGAGAUCUCUUGACAGCUCAUUUGACACUCUAGGUCUUAUGAUUCAAGAACGCCCUGAAUUCAAGACACUCGAUCCAUCUGACAUACUUGAGAGGCUCAACACACAUGAGUUCCAGCUAUCUGAGAAAAGAGAUAUCUAUGGUCCCAACUAUGGCCGAACUCGCGCUUUGAAGGCAAAGGCUGUUUCCUCAUCUAAAGAAGAAUCUGAUUGUAGUUCUGGUGAAGCUGAAGACCUUGGAAAGGAGCUUGCUAUGCUUGUGAAGAAGUUCCAGAAGUUCACUAAGAAGAAAGGCUUCAGAAAGUCUUCACGAUCCAGCUCAAGAAAUGAUGAAGCUUCUUCCCAUGACCACAAGAAGAGAACCUGUCACAAGUGCAAGAAACCUGGCCACUACAUCUCUGAGUGUCCAUAGUGGGACAAUGAGAAGAAAAAGAAGAAGAGCAAGGAAUAUGAUUCCAAUGACAAGAAGAAGAAGAAAUACUGGAAAUCUUCUUCCAAGUCUUCAUCACACACAAGAAGUUCGUCUGGCAAGGCCCGUGCUUUUGUUGGCAAGGAAAUGGAUUCAGAGGAGGAGUCUGCUUCUGAGGAGGCAGAGGUGGUGGAGUUUGAGGAGGAAUCUGACUCUGGCGUUGCAAGUCUAGCUCUGGCUUCAGCCUACGUUGCCAAGUCCAUCUUCAACACUGAAGACAAUGUAUCCACCACCAACGCUAAUGCCAGUGACCAGGACGACUCCACUCCCACUUACUGCUUCAUGGCACGCAGUGCCAAGGUAAACUCACGUGAUGCUUACUUUCAAACAUCAAGUGAAGAUGAAUCUGAUUGUGAAUCCAAACCUAGCUACAAAAAACUUGCUAAAAUUGCAACUGAACAACCGAAAGCUAUGGAACAUAUUCAAAAACUGUUAGCCAAAAGCGAGCCUGUUGGACGCGGAAAUGACUAGGACUCAGUCCUUAAUUGAAGACAUAAAAAAUCAUCAUGUUAAGUACCAGGAACUUGAAGGUCGUCAUGAAACCCUCUCAACAUCUCAUGAAAAGCUUUCCUACGAUUAUCUUCAAAGGAAGCAGGAACUUGAGAAAUUGAGAUCGGAUCAUGAAGAUCUUCAAAAGGAGAAUGAGUCACUACGCGCUCAACAGAUCACUCCCGCUCAGGAAGGAUUUGAACCACCAUGUUUAAAAUGCAUUGAGCAUGAUAACGUUGUUUCUAUUGCUGGAUGUUCUACUGCUCCUGUUGCAAUAUCUUGAACUGCUGAUGUGGUGUCUAACCCCUCUGUUGAGGAUACCACUGCUAUUGCUGAUGAGAAUGCCAGGUUGAAGACACUUAUUGAGACAGGGAUGUACAAAAGCCUCAAAGGGCAUCCGACAUUAUGUGAUGUCCUCAAAAAGCAGAUUCUGAACUGAAACCCUAGAAAAGAGGGUAUUGGGUUCGAGAGGAAAAUGAAUGUUGAUGGGUUGUACUGGAAGCCUGAGAAGUACCCCAAAACCACAUGGGUUGCUGCAAAGGAAUCCUCAGUAGAUCCAUCUACCUUAUAUGGUUUCACUUGCGCUAACCCUAUUAUCAUUGAUGAAUCCUUUGAUGCAAACUAUAAACUGUUUAAGAAUCAGAAUGGUGAAGUGUUUGCCAGGUAUAUUGGUACUAACUGCAGGAAUGGACCACCUAUGAAGAAGAUCUGGGUACCUAAACAGCGUAUUGAGAAUCUUCCUGUGAAUGUCAUCAUGACACCACCAAGGAAGAAGACAAACCCCAGACCUAUGGCUUCAUAUGGCCCAAAGGCUUCAUACAGAUAUAGGACUCACCUGAGUCACCCUAACGCCAAUGUUUUGCAGGGAAACCAUACUCAGACUUAUGAAUAUGAGCAUGUGUCUUCAAACCGCUAUGUUCAUAGAACUAAGAACUUUUCUGCUUAUUCAUAUGAGUAUUGUUCUUCUCCUGCAAGGCUAUUUGCUAGGGCUCCAAAGCCGAAGUUCUCAGAUGCUACACUUAGACUCAUUGCUUCUAAGCCGCCCCUGAAGAUGUGGGUGGUUAAGAAGAAUUAACUUUCUUUUGCAGGGAAAGGUCUCCAGCCGGAAAUCAAAGGCAUCCAAUGCUAUUGCUGGAGACCUAAAACACAUUAAGGGACGCAUGAUAAAAUGGUCUUACUAUGUAUUUCAUAUCUAAAUCGCUUGCUAGUCACACUAUCAGUCCUAACCCUGAUCUAAGCUUUGAUAAUCCUCUUGUGCGUCAAAUGUUUAUGCUUCACAACACUCUUUGUGAAGCCUAUCCUCCUAACUGCAUUGUAGGGUAUGACACCUCGUGCUUCAGAAUGGAUUAUGGACAGUGGAUGCAUUAACCACAUGACUGGUGAUCGAAGUCUUCUCAUGGACUCAACCUUACGUCCAUGUGAUAAAAUUCACAUCACAUUCGCUGACACUGGUAAAAGCAAGGUAUUGGACCUAGGUAGAGUUGCAAUCUCAAGGGAUUAGCACAUGGACAAAGUGAUGCUUGUUGAAUCCCUUGGUUUCAACUUAAUGUCUGUGUCAAUGCUUUGUGACUUAAACAUGAUUGUGCUAUUUGGAAAAUAUCGUUGCCUUGUACUAAUGGAAUCUGACAAGUCUCUAGUCUUCAAAGGGUACAGGAAAGAUGAUCUGUACAUGGUAGAUUUCUCAGCAGGACCACAGAUGGCCGUAUGUCUUCUAGCCAAGUCUUCAGAGUGCUGGCGCUGGCAUCGGAGGCUAGGGCAUGCUGGCAUGAGGAACCUACACACUCUCACCAAGAAGAAGCACGUCAUAGGCAUCGAAGACGUCAAGUUCAAGAAAUAUCAUCUAUGUGGUGCUUGUGAAGCUGGGAAGAUGACAAGGGCCAAGCAUCCCUCGAAGACAAUCAUGACUACAUCUCGAUCUUUUGAGUUUAUCCACAUGGACUUGUUUGGUCCCACUCACUACUCUACUCUCACUGCUACUGCUUGUCUCUAUGGUUUCGUCGUUGUUGAUGAUUAUUCAAGAUACACUUGGGUACACAUAAUUCUCUUCAAGACUAAAAUGCAGGAUGUCUUCAGACGCUUCGCAAACCGCGCCAUGAACAACUAUGGCGUCAAGAUCAAGCACAUUAGGAGUGACAACAGCACAGAAUUCAAGAACACGGGCCUCGACCUCUAUCUUGACACCUUAGGCAUCACUCAUGAGUUUUCUGCUCCAUACACACCUCAGCAGAAUGGCAUCAUGGAGCGCAAGAACAGAACCCUUAUUGAGAUGGCUCGGAUGAUGCUUGAUGAAUACAAGACUCCAAGAAAAUUCUGGCCUGAAGCCAUUGAUACUGCAUGCCAUGUCAUCAACCGUGUUUAUCUUCACAAGCUUCUAAAGAAAACAUCCUAUGAUCUUCUAACUGGUAAGAAGCCAAACAUAAGCUACUUCAGAGUAUUUGGUGCUAGGUGCUAGAUCAAGGAUCCACAUCACACUUCAAAAUUUGCACCGAAAGCACAUGAGGGUUUUAUGCUUGGUUAUGGAAAGGACUCACACUCCUACAGAGUCUUCAACCUCUUUCACUAUAAAGUGGUUGAAAAUGUGGAUGUGCGGUUUGAUGAAACUAACGGCUCGCAAAGAGAGCACCUGCCAAAUGUGCUAGAUGAAGUACCUGCCAGUGAAUCAAUCAAGCUAAUGGGAACAGGAGAGAUCAUACCAUCAGAUGCCCAGCCUGAAGAGGAACUUAUUAUUUCUGCACCUGAUCAACCUGAAGACAUUGCUCAGCCUGAAGAUAAUCCUUCAAAUAAUGACAAUGUUCAGCAGGAGCAAAAUCUUCAUCCAGUUCAUCCUCGUGUAGCAAAUGAAGUACAAAUUGAGAAGAUAAUCAAUAGCAUCAAUGCACCUAGUCCACUCACUCGUUCAAGAGCAACACAGCUAGCAAAUUUCUGUGGGCACUUUGCAUUUGUUUCAAUCUCUGAACCCAAGAAAGUUGCCGAAGCCUUCAUGGAACCUGAAUGGAUUCAAGCUAUGCAAGAAGAGCUUCAACAAUUUGAGCUGAACAAUGUGUGGGAAUUAGUCAAGCGUCCUGAUCCUCGCAAGCACAACAUAAUAGGCACAAAAUGGAUAUAUCGCAACAGACAAGACGAGCAUGGUCAAGUAGUCAGAAACAAAGCACGGCUCAUUGCUCAAGGAUACACACAAGUUGAAGGAAUUGACUUCGAUGAAACAUUUGCUCCAAUGGCUAGGCGCCAUUCGCAUACUGCUAGCUUACGCAAAUCAUCAUAACAUCCUUUUGUAUCAAAUGUAUGUGAAGAGUGCCUUUCUCAAUGGAAAGAUUGAAGAGGAAGUGUAUGUUGCACAACCGCCUGGCUUUGAAGACCCAAAACAUCCUGAUAUGGUAUACAAGCUCAACAAGGCACUUUAUGGCCUCAAACAAGCCCCUCGUGCUUGGUAUGACACACCCAAAGACUUCCUGAAGAGUAAAGGCUUCAAACCUGGUUCUCUAGAUCCCACUCUCUUCACGAAGAUAUAUGAUGGUGAACUGUUUGUGUGCCAAAUCUAUAUGGAUGACAUUAUCUUCGGUUGCACCAACAAGAAAUACAGUGAUGAAUUUGGUUACAUGAUGCAAGAACAAUAUCAAAUGUCCAUGAUGGGAGAGCUGAAGUUCUU
rnacentral:lncRNA from 1 species